rnacentral:lncRNA from 1 species
UUUUUUUUUUGUAAAAAAAAUCCAAUUUGUAUGAUUUAGUUAGUUAGUUGUAUAAUUUUCUUAGCUGUAUGAUUGUUAUAUAUAUAUAUAUAUAUNNNNNNNNNNNNNNNNNNNNNNNNNNNNNNNNNNNNNNNNNNNNNNNNNNNNNNNNNNNNNNNNNNNNNNNNNNNNNNNNNNNNNNNNNNNNNNNNNNNNAGGGUUUAAGCUUCUGUCACUCUAGCAACCCAUCAUCUACUUACUACUUCCCAAUGCUUUCCUCUAGGCCCAAAUAAUGGUGAAGUGUUAUGUAGUCGACGUUCACAUAACACCACUAGAGGAAAAACAACAUACAACAUAUCAAAAUACCGAAUGAAUACCAAAUUCACAUGACUACUAUUAGCAUGACUUAUCCCAUGUCCUCAGGAACAAAAGUAACUACUCACAAAGCAUAAUCAUAUUCAUGAUCAAAGAGGUAAUGAGUUGCAUCAAGGAUGUCAACAUAAACUCUUCCAGCAAAUAAUCCAACUAGCAUCAACUGCAAAGAGUAAUCAACACUACUAGCAACCUUACAAGUACCAAUCGGAGUCACAAGACGGAGAUUGGUUACAAGUGAUGAACUAGGGUUUGGAGAUGAGAUGGUGUUGAUGAAGAUGUUGAUGGUGAUGAGUCCCCUCCGAUGAGAGGAGUGUUGGUGAUGACGAUGGCGACGAUUUCCCCCUCCGGGAGGGAAGUUUCCCUGGCAGGAUCGUCCUGCCGGAGCUCUAGAUUGGUUCUGCUUAAGUUCCGCCUCGUGGUGGCGGCGAAACCACGAAAAAGCUCCUACUUUAUUUUUUUCCUGGACGAAACUCUCCAUAUAGCAAAAGAGGGGAGCUAGUGGGCCAAUGGGCUGCCCACAAGCCCUCAUGGCGCGGCCUGGGGGGGGGGGGUGGUCGCGCCGUGCAGGCUUGUGGGCACCCCCUGGUGCCCCUCUGGCACUUCUUCGCCCCAGUAUUUUUGAUAAAUUGGGAAAAAUCUUCGUUGAUUUUCACGGUGUUUGGAGUUGCGUAGAAUAGGCAUCUCAACUUUACUCCACUUUCAGGCCAGAAUUCCAGUUGUCGGUAUUCUCCCUCUUCAUGUAAACCUUGCAAAAUAAGAGAGAAAAGGCAUGAGAAUUGUACCGUGAAGUGAAAUAACAGCCAAAGAAGCGAUAAAUAUCAACAUGAAAACAUGAUACAAAAUGGACGUAACAGGAUGCCAUCUAGAGCUCCCUUCCGGCACUCUAGCGGAGGGGGAAUGAUCAGCUAGGGCUUCUUCAUUAACCUUGCUGCCCUCAUGAUGAUGUGCGAGUAGUUCACCACAAACUGAUACGUCCAUUUUUCAUCAUGUUUUGUCACUGUUAUUGUUAGUGUUUUUAUGCAUUAUACCACUUGGUGGAGUAAUUCUAAUGCCUUUUCUUUCCUAAUAUAUGCAAGGUUUACAUCAAGAGGGAGAAUGCCGACAGAUGAAAUUCUGGACCUGAAAAAGCUACAUCAAAGGUACCGGGGGUGUGACUAGUAGUGUUGAUUACAUCUCUUAGUUCAUCUCUUGUGCUCAGUCUUGUACCANNNNNNNNNNNNNNNNNNNNNNNNNNNNNNNNNNNNNNNNNNNNNNNNNNNNNNNNNNNNNNNNNNNNNNNNNNNNNNNNNNNNNNNNNNNNNNNNNNNNUAUGAUAUGAUUUGAUUUGAGUAUAGAUAGGGAAGGCAAUGAAAGUUUUGAUUUGAUAACCUUUAUUGAAUUUAAGGAAAAAUUCAAGGAGAAGCGCCGCAUCACAGCACUUUUCAUUGACGGCUUUACACGCGCAAGCAAAAACCUUCUAUCUCAUGAUUACAUCAUCGUAUUAAAUGUUUUUGAAUUUUAAAAUGAUCUGUCUCACAGAUUAAUAAUUUGAUUCAUCGUUAGGUUCGUCUCGACGAGACCUUUAAAAUAAGAUCUCAUGUUGACAUGUUUCGUUGAAUUUUUUCGUCAUUCCUAGUUGCCACAUUUAUGUCAUCAUAGUUGUCAUUUUACGGAUGUACAAUUAUCACAAAAUUAUGCAUAAUUAUCGGGACAAUAAUUUUUACUUUUAAAUAUUGCAGUGUUAUGUAGAGCUAAAAAGUGAUUAUUAAAUCACUAACAAUAAGCAAGUAAAUGCAUGAACCAGUAAAAGUACAAUGAAUCAACUUUUUUAGUGGNGUAUAUCGACAUUCUUAAACCUGAUAAGCAAGUUGAUUUAAUGUGAGAACUAUGUGACAAAUAAUGUGACAAGUAAANNNNNNNNNNNNNNNNNNNNNNNNNNNNNNNNNNNNNNNNNNNNNNNNNNNNNNNNNNNNNNNNNNNNNNNNNNNNNNNNNNNNNNNNNNNNNNNNNNNNCUGUAUAAUUUUGUCUGAAAAAAUUAUACAUUAGCCCCCAAGUGUCAAGGAUAUUGCUUGCAAUAGUUCUGAGACUUGCCCCCUUAUCAUGUACUUCAACAGGAAACUCUUAUCCAGACCGAAUCAGCACUUGGCGACUUGAAGAAAAGCUUAUCUGAUCAGCAGGAUGCCCGAGCCAAAUCGGAGGAGAAGUAUCAACUGGUCGUAGCUGAGAUGGAAAAAUUAAAAGCCGAUUUAAAAAGGGCUCAAGCUGACCAAGAUGCUUCAACAAAACGAGCAGAGAAAGCUGAAGCCAAGCUAGCUACUGUGCAACAAGAGCUGUCCGGUUUGAAACGUCAUAUCUCAAACAUGGCGCAAGCCGUCUUUGGUAAAAUACUCAAACCUUUAACCUUUUUAAACAAAUAACUCUUAUCUUGAGUCGCUGAUUAUCAUUACCCCUUGUACAGGUCCGAGAACCGCCAACCUUCAGGAUGAUUGCGUGCUGAUGCUGAAGGCGAUUUACACGCUGACAGAGCAGCUAUAUACCGGUAGUGUACUGACAGUGAAAGCAGUGAUGGGCGCCAAGGAGCCUAUAACCUUCAUAAAGAAGAUGCUUGGCUGCCUAUCCACGCUUCCUCCCCUGAUUGGCGAGUUGACUCGGUCAGCUGCCCGGAAGGGAGUGCUGACUACAUUAAGUCGCUGCUUAGCGUAUGCUCCAGAGAUCAACCCAGAAGAAGUAACGGCGGGCUUUCCUCAACUCAAGGAUGACGGGUCAGAAUUCGCCGAAGAGGACUACCAGCGUGUCAUCAAGGACUCCCGGCUGGCGGUGACUCAACUUGCCGCAAGUCUGGACUUAUCAAAGUACCAGGCUGCUUAUGAUAGUAAGAACAAGAAGGUCAAUCUGCCAACCUUUGUGACGACCAGCUUAACUCCACGGCGACCCAAGAACCCUUUUGACUUGUACGCAGAUCUUUCAUCAAUCCUGACCGAUGAAGAUGACUUUGCAGCUCUAGCCAAGUGUAACUGGGUACUGGGCGACUUGCAAAUUGAGGUUGGCCAAAGCUCGCAGCAAACUGAUCCAAGCGCGUCAGUAGAAUAAACUUCAUUGAAUUGGCCAUAAGAGCCAUGUAAUAGGUCUCCUUUAAGAAUCGGUACUGCUUUUGUGAUACCUUCAAAAAGAAUCCUUAUGUCGCCCUUAAGGCGAUUUGAAAUAUUUGAUCCGCCGUUUGAAACUUCUUUAUAAUGCUUAAUCCGCCAUGGAUAAAGUGAUUUUGAUCAUCAACCUGUUCUAAGCUUGAAAAACAUAUGUGAAAUCAUCUUAAUGAAUAAUAAGUGAUAACAAAUAUUUCAAGAUGAAUCAGAAAAAAGUCUGGAAAACCUUGUGGCAGUGCCAGGAAGGUAAAUAAAAAUAGCAAUUUCGUCGGGUCAUAAGGUCGCGACAGGAUGGGGCGAGUCAAAAAGCUCAAGCGCCACCCAAGAAUGAUUUCGUCGGCUCAUAAGGUCGCGACAGGAUGGGGCGAGUUAGAAAGCUCGAGCGCCACCCAAGAAUGAUUUCAUCGGCUCAUAAGGUCGCGACAGGAUGGGGCGAGUCAAAAAGCUCAAGCGCCACCCUAGAUGAUGGUUUCGUCGGCUCAUAAGGUCACGACAGGAUGGGGUGAGUCAGAAAGCUCAAGCGCCACCCUAGAUGAUGGUUUCGUCGGCUCAUAAGGUCGCGACCGGAUGGGGCGAGUCAGAAAGCUCAAGCUCCACCCUAAAUGAUGGUUUCGUCGGCUCAUAAGGUCACGACAGGAUGGGGCGAGUCAGAAAGCUCAAGCGCCACCCUAAGAUAAUGNNNNNNNNNNNNNNNNNNNNNNNNNNNNNNNNNNNNNNNNNNNNNNNNNNNNNNNNNNNNNNNNNNNNNNNNNNNNNNNNNNNNNNNNNNNNNNNNNNNNAUUUCAUUAAAGGUUUACAUACGAAGCAAAGUGGAUGAAUCUACAUUCUAAAGUAUGUCUAUAUACAUCCGUAUGUAGUUUACUAGUGAAACCUCUAGAAAACUUAUAUUUAGGAACGGAGGGAGUACUUUUUAGUAGUAGAGAUAACUCAUGUGUGUUGGUCUGUUGGACAUGGGUAUAAUUUUUAGUACACUAGGCCAUGAUUUACAUGCUCACAACUGAUUGUGUAUGUAAUUUUGACAAAAAAAACUAAGAUUGUGUAUAUAAUUUUGCAAAAAAGAAAAAGAAAAAAACUAGAUUGUGUAUGUAAAAUGUUUUACCAAAUAAAACCCUGCCAAUGACUUACUUACCCAGAUAAAUUAUAAGAUUUAUUUGGCAAAUAUGUAUUCACUUACCAAAGAAAAUAAUAUUUUAUUUGAUAAGUCAAUACAGGAUAGUUAAUAUAGUUGACAGUAAAAACAACAUUACAAAAAGUAGAGAUAUAUAAACAAGAAAAAUUAAAAUAGAGAGAAAGAGGAAAAAAUUAUAUGUAAGGUUGGACGAAGGAAGAGAGGGACAAAUAAUGUUACAUAGUAUCCUUAAAAUUNNNNNNNNNNNNNNNNNNNNNNNNNNNNNNNNNNNNNNNNNNNNNNNNNNNNNNNNNNNNNNNNNNNNNNNNNNNNNNNNNNNNNNNNNNNNNNNNNNNNAGAAAGUAGAAGAUCCGAUCUCGUCUGUUGAAUUUGAUCNGAAAUAUGGUCAUAUCUUCGUUAUCCCAAUAGUAAACCUUCUUACUUCUCUUCGCAUAUCGAAAGACGCAAAAGAUCUAUUAUUAGCUUAUAUAUAAGUUGUCGAAGGUCCGUAAAAGCCUUGAUGAGGAGAAUAUGAUAUUGGAGUUGGAUGUUGCCGAGGUGCGUGACGAUCACAAGAUCAAGAUGAAUGCAAUGCACUUGAAGAUUAGAAACAUUAGAAAAUAUGCCAUAAUAAGCUCCUCCUCUUUCUUCUUCUUCUUCUCCUCCUCCUCCUCCUCCUCCUCCUCCUUCUUGAUUUCUUCUUCUUCUCCUCUUCCUCCUCUUUCUUCUUCUUCUCCUCCUCUUUCUUCUUCUUCUUCUACCAUAAUAAGCUCAAAAUGAAAAGAAAGAAGAAGAAGAGAUGAAGAAGAAGAGAAGAAGGAGAAGGAGGAGGAGGAGGAGGAGGAGGAGGAGGAGAAGGCCAAGGACCUUCUAUCCUUCUCCUCCUCCUCUUUCUUCUCCUCUUUCAUAUUAUCCUUGCUUUAAUUAACCCAACAAUGACAUAGUUAGCCCAUUUAGCUCCAAAAUACCGUAAUAAGCUCAAAAUGGCAUAAGAACCUUGGUUAGCUCAUGAAUAUUAUAUACUUAGCUUCUUUUCCUCUAAAAGGACAUAAUUGGAAUAUUUAGCUCAAAAAAGACAUAAUUAGGUAAUUUAGCUCCAACAAGAGGAGAAGAGGAGAAGAAAUAGGCAAAAAUGAAAAGAAAGAAGAAGAAGAGAUGAAAGAAGAAGAGAAGAAGAGAGAGAGAGAGAGAGAGAGAGAGANNNNNNNNNNNNNNNNNNNNNNNNNNNNNNNNNNNNNNNNNNNNNNNNNNNNNNNNNNNNNNNNNNNNNNNNNNNNNNNNNNNNNNNNNNNNNNNNNNNNCUCCAGCCAUAUAUACUGUCCAUUUCCACCUUGAGUUACGAGCCAGGCCAGGAAAGCACUGCAAAGUAUUGCAAUAACACUACUUCUGGAAAUAGGUGUCAUUUAGGAGUUGAACAGUAGCUUCAUGGAGCUAAAAAUGUCUCUCAGUUUUAAUACUUCUCCUGGCAAUGUUUUCCACCAUCCAACAUGAUUUUUAGCGCUCGGGGAGAAGAUGGACCAGGCAAAAAAAUCCUCUUGCUGAUUUGAAUUUGCAGUAACUAAUUUUAUUUGAUUUUGUAAUAUCUAUGAGAUCCAAAAACAUGAGACUGGGAGGCACAAUUCAUCUUUUUACAGAUUUGAUAUAUAUGAACUCGAGCUCCUGCAGAUUUUAAUUGUUUACUGGAGCUCCUGCAGAUUGACAUUCAUGGACAUAUACUCCUGCAGAUUUCAUCCAAGGUAUAUCACACCCAGUAGUUAGACCAUGGUGAGAACGAUGUGUAGCUGUUGUCUGCUGAUGCCCAAGCUUAUAUUACANNNNNNNNNNNNNNNNNNNNNNNNNNNNNNNNNNNNNNNNNNNNNNNNNNNNNNNNNNNNNNNNNNNNNNNNNNNNNNNNNNNNNNNNNNNNNNNNNNNNCUUCUCUUCUUCUUCAUCUCUUCUUCUUCUUUCUUUUCAUUUUGCCUAUUUCUUCUCCUCUUCUCCUCUUGUUGAAGCUAAAUUACCUAAUUAUGUCUUUUUUGAGCUAAAUAUUCCAAUUAUGUCCUUUUAGAGGAAAAGAAGCUAAGUAUAUAAUAUUCAUGAGCUAACCAAGGUUCUUAUGCCAUUUUGAGCUUAUUACGGUAUUUUGGAGCUAAAUGGGCUAACUAUGUCAUUGUUGGGUUAAUUAAAGCAAGGAUAAUAUGAAAGAGGAGAAGAAAUAGGAGGAGGAGAAGGAUAGAAGGUCCUUKGGCCCUUUCUCCUCCUCCUCCUCCUCCUCCUCCUCCUCCUCCUCCUUCUCCUUCGUUCUCUUCUUCUUCAUCUCUUCUUCUUCCUUCUUUCAUUUUGAGAUUAUUAUGGUAGAAGAAGAAGAAGAAAGAGGAGGAGAAUAAGAAGAAAGAGGAGGAAGAGGAGAAGAAGAAGAAAUCAAGAAGAAGGAGGAGGAGGAGGAGGAGGAGAAGGCCAGGNNNNNNNNNNNNNNNNNNNNNNNNNNNNNNNNNNNNNNNNNNNNNNNNNNNNNNNNNNNNNNNNNNNNNNNNNNNNNNNNNNNNNNNNNNNNNNNNNNNNCGUAAAAAAUAUUAUGUCAUGUAAAAUUACAAACACAAAAACAUAGUGUAAAAUAUACAGAAAAUAUGAUUUUUUUGUCUUAUGACCUAUAUUUUUGUUUUCUUAUGUCAAACCUUACGUAGUCACUCAAUGUAAAUUUAACUAUUUGCAUUUCGAAUGUAAUUUAUUUAUGAAACGAUCGUAAGAUUACCUCGGGUGAAGAAUAACUUAUUCUGCAUCCCAGAUGAUGAAUAGACUUCAUAUAUAUAUAUAUAUAUAUAUAUAUAUAUAUAUAUAUAGGGUCGCGCUAUUCGUCAUCCUGGAUGAGGAAUAGUUAUUCUUCACCUCCCUCUAUUUUUAACAUCAAUGCAUCGUAAUUUUACGUUCCGUAAAAUUUUUGCCUUAUUUUAUAUGUAAAAAGAGACCGUAAAAAAAAUAUAAUCAACAUAAAAAAUAUUUUAUGUCACAUAAAAAUGACGAACAUACAAAAAUAGUGUAAAAAUACAAUAAAUUCAAUUUUUUCUGAUCUUGUGACCUAUAUUAUUGUUUUUAUUUUGUCAAAUUUUACGUAGUGAUUCAAUAUAAAUGUAACUAUUUGUAUUUCAAAUGUAAUUUAUUUGUAAAUUGACCGUAAGAUUAUCUCGGGUGAANNNNNNNNNNNNNNNNNNNNNNNNNNNNNNNNNNNNNNNNNNNNNNNNNNNNNNNNNNNNNNNNNNNNNNNNNNNNNNNNNNNNNNNNNNNNNNNNNNNNAGGGGAAGGAGAAGGAGAAGGAGGAGGAGAAGAAGAAAAAAGAAGAGAAGAAGAAGGAGAAGAAGGAGGAGAAGAAGGAGAGAAGAAGAAGGAGAAGAAGGAGGGCUCCUUCUCCUUCUCCUUCUUCUUCUCCUCCUUCCUUCUCCUUCUUCUCUUCUUCUCCUCCUCCUUCUUCUUCUUCUCCUCCUCCUCCUUCUUCUUCUCCUUCUCCUUCUAUUCUUCUUCUCUUCUUCCUCUUAUUCUUCCUUCUCCUUCUUUUUGAGCUAAAUAUUCCAAUUAUGUCAUUUUAGAGGAAAAGAAGCUAAGUAUAUAAUAUUCAUGAGCUAACCAAGGUUCUUAUGCCAUUUUGAGCUUAUUACGGUAUUUUGGAGCUAAAUGGGCUAACUAUGUCAUUGUUGGGUUAAUUAAAGCAAGGAUAAUAUGAAAGAGGAGAAGAAAGAGGAGGAGGAGGAGAAGAAGAAGAAAUCAAGAAGAAGGAGGAGGAGGAGGAGAAGGAGGAGGAGGAGAAGGAUAGAAGGUCCUUGGCCUUCUCCUCCUCCUCCUCCUCCUCCCNNNNNNNNNNNNNNNNNNNNNNNNNNNNNNNNNNNNNNNNNNNNNNNNNNNNNNNNNNNNNNNNNNNNNNNNNNNNNNNNNNNNNNNNNNNNNNNNNNNNCCGGUGACAAGAAGAUCGUGCCGGUGCUUUGGUGAUGGAGAUCAAGAAGCACGUGAUGAUGGCCAUAUCAUGUCACUUAUGAAUUGCAUGUGAUGUUAAUCCUUUUAUGCACCUUAUUUUGCUUAGAACGACGGUAGCAUUAUGAGGUGAUCUCUCACUAAAAUUUCAAGACGAAAUUGUGUUCUCCCCGACUGUGCACCGUUGCUACAGUUCGUCGUUUCGAGACACCACGUGAUGAUCGGGUGUGAUAGACUCAACGUUCACAUACAACGGGUGCAAAACAGUUGCGCACGCGGAACACUCGGGUUAAGCUUGACGAGCCUAGCAUGUGCAGACAUGGCCUCGGAACACAUGAGACCGAAAGGUCGAUCAUGAAUCAUAUAGAUGAUAUGAUUAGCAUAGGGAUGCUUACCACUGAAACUUUACUCAACUCACGUGAUCAUCGGACUUGAGCUAGUGUAAGUGGAUCAUGAACCACUCAAAUAACUAGAGAGAUGUACUUUUUGAGUGGGAGUUUAGCGAAUAAUUUGAUUAAGUUAAACUCUAAUUAUCUUGAACAUAGUCUAAGUCCACUUUGAAUAUAUUUGUGUUGUAGAUCAUGGCUCACGCGAUAGUCACCCUGAAUUUUAAUACGUUCCUAGAGAAAGCUAAGUUGAAAGAUGAUGGAAGCAACUUUGUAGACUGGGCUCGUAAUCUUAAGCUAAUCUUACAAGCUGGAAAGAAGGAUUAUGUCCUUAAUGCUGCGCUAGGAGAUGAACCACCCGCUACGGCUGAUCAGGAUGUUAAGAACGCUUGGUUAGCACGUAAGGAGGACUACUCAGUAGUUCAAUGUGCAGUCUUGUAUGGCUUAGAACCGGGACUUCAACGUCGCUUUGAGCGUCAUGGAGCAUUUGAGAUGUUCCAGGAGUUGAAGUUUAUCUUUUAGAAGAACGCCCGGAUCGAGAGGUAUGAGACCUCCGAUAAAUUCUAUGCUUGCAAGAUGGAGGAGAACUCGUCUGUCAGUGAACAUGUGCUCAAAAUGUCUGGGUACUCAAACCGUCUAGCUGAACUGGGGAUUGAACUCCCGCAAGAAGCUAUCACUGACAGAAUCCUCCAAUCACUGCCGCCAAACUAUAAAGGCUUUGUGUUGAACUACAACAUGCAAGGGAUGAACAAGUCUCCCGGCGAGUUGUUUGCGAUGCUGAAAGUCGCAGAGUCUGAACUCCGUAAAGAGCAUCAAGUGUUGAUGGUGAGCAAGACCACUAGUUUCAAGAGAAACGGCAAAGGCAAGAAGGGCAAUUCGAAGAAGAGCGGCAAGCCUGUUGCCAAUCCGCCGAAGAAACCCAAGGCUGGACCUAAGCCUGAAACAGAGUGCUUCUAUUGCAAGGGUAUGGGUCAGUGGAAGCACAAUUGCCCCAAGUAUCUGGCAGAUAAGAAGGCGGGCAAAGAAAAAUCAGGUAUAUUUGAUAUACAUGUUAUUGAUGUGUACUUAACCGGCUCUCGUAGUAGUGCCUGGGUAUUCGAUACCGGUUCUGUUGCUCANNNNNNNNNNNNNNNNNNNNNNNNNNNNNNNNNNNNNNNNNNNNNNNNNNNNNNNNNNNNNNNNNNNNNNNNNNNNNNNNNNNNNNNNNNNNNNNNNNNNAGAGACUUGCCGGUGAAUGAGAUUGAAAUAGGUAUGCGGAUACUGACGAUCGAAUCUCGGGCAAGUAACAUACCGAAGACAAAGGGAAUGACAUACGGGAUUAUAUGAAUCCUUGGCACUGAGGUUCAAACGAUAAGAUCUUCAUAGAAUAUGUAGGAUCCAAUAUGGGAAUCCAGGUCCUGCUAUUGGAUAUUGACCGAGGAGUCUCUCGGGUCAUGUCUACAUAGUUCUCGAACCCGCNNNNNNNNNNNNNNNNNNNNNNNNNNNNNNNNNNNNNNNNNNNNNNNNNNNNNNNNNNNNNNNNNNNNNNNNNNNNNNNNNNNNNNNNNNNNNNNNNNNNNNNNNNNNNNNNNNNNNNNNNNNNNNNNNNNNNNNNNNNNNNNNNNNNNNNNNNNNNNNNNNNNNNNNNNNNNNNNNNNNNNNNNNNNNNNNNNNNNNNNNNAUUUGAGUUAUAUGGUUAGUUACCGAAUGUUGUUCGGAGUCCCGGAUGAGAUCACGGACGUCACGAGGGUUUCCGGAAUGGUCCGAAAACGAAGAUUGAUAUAUAGGAUGACCUCAUUUGGUUACCGGAAGGUUUUCGUAGUUACCGGGAAUGACGAAUGGGUUCCGGGAGUUCACCGGGGGGGCAACCCACCCCGGGGAAGCCCAUGGGCCUUGAGGGUGGCGCACCAGCCCUUAGUGGGCUGGUGGGACAGCCCAAAAGGGCCCUAUGCGCAUUGGAAGAAAAAUCNNNNNNNNNNNNNNNNNNNNNNNNNNNNNNNNNNNNNNNNNNNNNNNNNNNNNNNNNNNNNNNNNNNNNNNNNNNNNNNNNNNNNNNNNNNNNNNNNNNNAGAGACUUGCCGGUGAACGAGAUUGAAAUAGGUAUGCGGAUACUGACGAUCGAAUCUCGGGCAAGUAACAUACCGAAGGACAAAGGGAAUGACAUACGGGAUUAUAUGAAUCCUUGGCACUGAGGUUCAAACGAUAAGAUCUUCGUAGAAUAUGUAGGAUCCAAUAUGGGCAUCCAGGUCCCGCUAUUGGAUAUUGACCGAGGAGUCUCUCGGGUCAUGUCUAUAUAGUUCUCGAACCCGCNNNNNNNNNNNNNNNNNNNNNNNNNNNNNNNNNNNNNNNNNNNNNNNNNNNNNNNNNNNNNNNNNNNNNNNNNNNNNNNNNNNNNNNNNNNNNNNNNNNNNNNNNNNNNNNNNNNNNNNNNNNNNNNNNNNNNNNNNNNNNNNNNNNNNNNNNNNNNNNNNNNNNNNNNNNNNNNNNNNNNNNNNNNNNNNNNNNNNNNNNNNNNNNNNNNNAUUUGAGUUAUAUGGUUGGUUACCGAAUGUUGUUCGGAGUCCCGGAUGAGAUCACGGACGUCACGAGGGUUUCCGGAAUGGUCCGGAAACGAAGAUUCAUAUAUAGGAUGACCUCAUUUGAUUACCGGAAGGUUUUUGGAGUUACCGGGAAUGACGAAUGGGUUCCGGGAGUUCACCGAGGGGGGGGGGCAACCCACCCCGGGGAAGCCCAUAGGCCUUGAGGGUGGCGCACCAGCCCUUAGUGGGCUGGUGGGACAGCCCAAAAGGGCCCUAUGUGCAUUGGAAGAAAAAUCNNNNNNNNNNNNNNNNNNNNNNNNNNNNNNNNNNNNNNNNNNNNNNNNNNNNNNNNNNNNNNNNNNNNNNNNNNNNNNNNNNNNNNNNNNNNNNNNNNNNGCGCCGCCACCUCCUGUUCUUCAUCUGGAGGGCAGAUCCGGAGUCUGUUCUCGGCUCCGAAGAGGGGAGAUCGUCGCCAUGGUCAUCACCAACCUUCCUUCAUCGCCAAUUCCAUGAUGCUCUUCACCGUUCGUGACUAAUCUCAUCGUAGGCUUGCUGGACGGUGAUGGGUUGGAUGAGAUCUAUCAUGUAAUCGAGUUAGUUUUGACGGGGAUUGAUCCCUAGUAUCCACUAUGUUCUGAGAUUGAUGUUGCUACUACUUUGCCAUGCUUAAUGCUUCUCACUAGGGCCCGAGUGCCAUGAUUUCAGAUCUGAACCUAUUAUUUUGUCGCCAAUAUAUGUGAGUUCUUGAUCCUAUCUUGCAAGUUGUAGUCACCUACUAUGUGUUAUGACCCGGCAACCCCGGAGUGACAAUAGCCGGAACCACUCCCGAAGAUGACCAUAGUAUGAGGAGUUCAUGUAUUCACCAAGUGUUAAUGCGUUGGUCCGGUUCUUUAUUAAAAGGAGAACCUUAAUAUCCCGUAGUUUUCAUUAGGACCCCGCUGCCACGGGGGGGAUGGACAAUAGAUGUCAUGCAAGUUCUUUUNNNNNNNNNNNNNNNNNNNNNNNNNNNNNNNNNNNNNNNNNNNNNNNNNNNNNNNNNNNNNNNNNNNNNNNNNNNNNNNNNNNNNNNNNNNNNNNNNNNNCCGCCAGCUCCCUGCUGCCCGCACCUCCUCCUGUAGCGCCUCGCCGGGAACUGCGCCGCCCCAAGCUCCCCAUCGGCCCCGCCUCCGGCCGCCGCUCGCCGGAAGUCCCACGGAGGCCCACCAGUCGCCUGCACCUUGUCUCUCCGCCGACAGGGGCCGGCCGCCAUGGAUAGCAUCGCCCUAGCGCCGGCCACCUCCGCCGCCAAGCCUCCGGCCGCCGCGUUUUGGCUCCCCUGCAGUGAGCUGCCCACCGACAGAUCUGGCCGCCACGCCGCCGUUGGACCCGCUGCAGCCUCCUCUCCAGCCUCCCGCGGGAUCUCCUCCACGUUCGCUGCAAGCACCGGCCGCCGCCAGGCCCGUGCCCUCGGGCACGACGAGGGGCACGAUGCUCGAGCCGCGCGUGGCUCCAGCGCCACCAACCGCUGCGGCCCAGUGCGCCCAGCAGCCGGCCCAGUCGCCCCGCUCGACAGCGCCAAGGCUUUGCUAGCUCCACCGACCAGGCCCAACCGCCUCCUUUCCUGGCCCGAUUGCCCAAGGUGAGGCUGGCCAUCCCCCCCGCCUUGCAAUUUUCUUCUGUUAUAUUGCGCCCCUGUCGGCCCAUGUAGUAUUUUAGUUUUUUAUUACGUUUUAGAUAAUUCCAGUAAAUGAACGUAAAUAUAAAUGCCCGUAACUUUUUAUCCGUAAGUCGGAACGAGGCGUAUUUUAUAUGGUUUUGGGGUAGAAUUUCGCGUAGAAUACGAUUUCAAACUUGCAUAAUUAUUUGAGGUCGUUUAGCGUGCUGUAUGCCUAGAAACACAUGCUGUCCUAUUAUGUUUACGACCCGUAUAAUUUCUCGUGCGUGUCCGGACUGCCCGCAUAACGUCGAUUAAAUUUCCACGUUUUAGGAAUCAGUUUUGCAUGUAUUUUAGAGCGGUCACUCGUAUUUUUGCGUGUAGGGUUUGCCUCUAGUUUAUUUUCCCGUAUAUAGGUUAUUUUCUCGCAUUAAUGUGUGGCUCUAUUUUGUGUUGCAACCCCACAUAUUUUAUAUGUGUCCGGGGUAGAAAAAAAUCCAUGGGAUUUUUCUGUGCAAUUAGUUUUAGUUUUCGAGUAAGUUAGUUCGCGAGAUAUUUUGCCAUGUUGCCCUCUUGUUUAUAUCGUAGGAUUUAUUCCGUGCGUCGUUUGACGGAGUUGUCAACUAGAGAGUUGAUCUUGGAUGUUUUGUUUAGCCCCUGGUAUUUUUGGUUGCAAUAGAAAUGCAUAUUUAGGUGUUGUUUGCUUUCUCUCAAGUUGCUAGAAAUAGUGCUGAUUUGGAGGUGCUGAAAUAUUUCUAAGUCUGGAAUCUGUUAUAUUUUGUUGCUGUUUUGUCUUGCUUGCAUCUUGUGAUCUGUAGCUUUUUUGAGGUUGGUCCAAUGGAGUUAGUAGUACCCCUUGUGUUUCUCUAGCAUGCUGUAAAUUUUCAUGCCAUUUGGAGUCCUGUAGCUAUAGGUUUUUCUGCUGUCAAUAUGCCUUCAGGCUGAAAACUGCACUUUCAUGAGGUGUUAUUUUCACUAAGUCUGAAAUGGUGUGUGGGAAGCCAUUUUGCGACUUCUUUCCCUAGUGUUCCUUGCUGCCAUGCUAGUUGUUGUUAGUUGUUUGUAGUAGAGCGUCUUGUCCUCUUUCGUGCCAUCCCUUGCUUGAGUUUAUCGGAGUUGUGUAGCCGUAGUUGUGGGGCGUAGAAAGUGCUAUGUGGCUGAUUUUGGCAGAUUGUAGUGAGUUCUUGAUUUGCUCGUAUCUUUUGAACCGUAGCUCCGUUUUGAUCGUGUCCUACUUGAAACUUGCGUAGAAUCUCGUGUAGAUUCAUUUUCUCUUGCUGUUUGUAUGUCUUGAAGUGCUCGUGACCGUCGUUGCACACAUUUUGCAUUCAUGCCAUCAUAUCUUGCGGUGCUUGUAUCUUUUGAUCCGUAGCUCCGUUGGAGAUGUUCUCUACGUGUAGAUUGCUUGCCUUGACGCGUAGAAUCACGUGAACCUAUUUGUUUUGCUGUUUAACAACUAAUUAAAUGCAUUAGUUCAGAUCUGGACAGAAUUGUAAAUUAACAUGUGAGGUCGUUUCGGAGAUGCUAUAUGUCAUUUCCGACCUCAUUUAAAAUGUCUAGAUAGAUAGUUUAAUUUCCGCUUCACCUCUUACAUGUUUGACAACAGUAAUAUUGCCGUGUAAAUAACUGGGAGUGAACUAAAUAAUUCAUAUGUGGAGUUUCGUCAAUAUGCAACUCGUUGCAUAUUGAACUUCACUUAAUGUGUAGUGAUUGAUUGUGUGAUUUGUCAUGCCGUGACUUGCAUGUAUUCAACUGCUCAUGCAUCAUUUGUGUUGUUGCACCGUGUGGUGAAUUCCGUGUGUUGAUUCGUGUUUCCGGUUUUCCCCGUCUCGAUAGAUUUCCACAAGCGUGUCGGAUGUGAGGACCCGUUCGACUACGUCGGUUCGUCUACUUCAUGGAGACAUUCUUCUUCCAAGCGGGAUCUCAGGCAAGAUGAUCAUUUCCCCAGAUACCAUUACUAUCAUUGCCAUGCUAGUUUUAUCGUUUUUAUCGAUUAUGUCUCGUUGCCUACCACAUGUUAAAUACCAGCCUCUCAACAAUGCCAUGAAACCUUCAACCUGUUCGACCUAGCAAACCACUGAUUGGCUAUGUUACUGCUUGCUUAACCCUGUUGAUAGCGUUGCUAGUUGCAGGUGCAGUUGCUUCCAUGUGAAAACAUGGGUUCCUUGUUAUAUCACCAUAUUAAAUUUUUUUUAAUUUAAUGCACCUAUAUACUUGGUAAAAGGUGGAAGGCUCGGCCUUUCUAGCCUGGUGUUUUGUUCCACCUUUGCCCCCUUAGUUUCGGCUACCGGUGUUAUGUUCCAUAAUUGAGCGCUCCUAACACAAUCGGGGUUGUUAUGGGGACCCCCUUGAUAAUUCGUUUUAGAUUAAAGCUGGUCUGGCAAGGCCCAACAUUGGUUUUACAUUUGCCCAACAUAAUAAUUUGAUAAUACUGAAAUGCAUAGGGAGUUAGCGCUACCCGAGGAGUAAUUUUACAUAAACAGGAGGGGCCAGUGCUGAUGGUGUUGGUCCCAAACGGUCUGCCUGCGGGGCCACCGCGAGUAAACUCGAGGUUUGGCACUCGUAGCUAGUUCCAUCCGUCGUGUCCCGAGAACGAGAUACGCGGCUCCUAUCGGGUUCGUCGACACGUCGGGCGGCCUUGCUGGAUUAGUUUUACCUUUGACGAGAUAUCUUGUGCAUCGGGAUUCUGGUGAUGCUUUGGGUAAUCUCAGAGUUGAGGUUUUCCACUAGGGAAUCCGACGAGAUCGCGAGCUUCGUGAUGAGGAUUUCUAUGCGGCUUGUGGUAAUUUGUGAUGGACUAGUUGGAGCACCCCUGCAGGGUUAAAUCUUUCGGAAAGCCGUGCCCGCGGUUAUGUGGCAACGUGGAAACUUUGUUUAACACUGGUUCUAGAUAACUUGAAGUUAACUUAAAUAAGAUAUGCCAACUGUGUGCGUAACCGUGACUGUCUCUUUCGUGAGUUCUUACUCCGAUCGAGGACACGGUGGGGUUAUGUCUGACGUAGAUAGGUGUUCAGGAUCAUUCAUUUGAUCAUCAGUAGUUCACAUCCAUUAUGCGUAGAUCUUCCCCCUCUUAUUUCUUGUGCUCGUAAGUUUAGCCACCAAAUAUAUGCUUAGCCGCUGCUGCAACCUCACCACUUAACCUUACCUCACCCAUUAAGCUUUGCUAGUCUUGAUACCUUUGGAAAUGAGAUUGCCGAGUCCCCUGUGGCUCACAGAUUACUACAACACCAGUUACAGGUGCAGGUAAAGGUUACUUGACGUGAGCGCGUUGAUUGUUCAUUUGGAGUUGCCUCUUCUUCUUCUUCUUCAUCGAUCUAGGAUGGGUUCCAGGCCGGCAGCCUGGGAUAGCAAGGAUGGACGUCGUUCUUCUUUUCUCGUUUGUUUUUGUCCGUAGUCGGACCCUGCUCUUACUCUUGAUGAUUAUGUAAUGUACUGAUGCGACUCUGAUGUAGCAUGUGGCGAGUGUAAGCCAACUCUAUAUAUAUCUCUUCUGUUCAGUACAUGUACUUGUGACGAUAUCCAUUCUUGCGACACGACGAGAUGCGCUUCUAUCCCUGACGAGGCCCUCGUGCCAAAUUGAGGAUAUGGGCGGAUCUUGGGCGUGACAGGGUAUCUUCACCACGAAGGAAGCACGAGGAGUUGUUCCUCAACCUGAGGUACCUACUGAAAAUAUCUUUUAUGAAAUUCCUUCGGGUAUGCUUGAGAAAUUGCUGGCUAAUCCUGUUACAGGAGAUGGAUCUUCACAUCCAGACUUACAUCUAAUCUAUGUAGAUGAAGUUUGUGUUUUAUUUAAGCUUGCAGGUUUGCCCGAGGAUGAGGUAAGGAAGAAAGUCUUUCCUUUAUCUUUGAAGAAUAAGGCAUUGACAUGGUAUAGGCUAUGUGAUGAUACUGGGUCAUGAGGCUACAAUCGGUUGAAAUUGGAAUUUCAUAAAAAGUUCUAUCCUAUGCAUUUAGUACAUCGUGAUCGGAACUUUAUUUAUAACUUUUGGCCUCGUGACAGGGAAAGCAUAGCUCAAGCUUGGUGGAGGCUUACAUCAAUGCUAUAUUCAUGCUCCAAUCAUGAGCUCUCGAGAGAAAUCAUCACUCAAAACUUUUAUGCUCGGCUUUCUUAUGAAGAUCGUACCAUGCUUGACACUUCUUGUACCGGUUCUUUUAUGAAGAAGGAUAUUGAUCACAAGUGGAAUUUAUUGGAGAGAAUCAAACGCAACUCUGAAGAUUGGGAGCUGGAGGAAGGUAAGGAGUCAGGUAUAAAUUUCCAGUUUGAUUGCGUUAAAUCUUUUGUUGAGACAAACACUUCUAGAGAUUUUAGCGCUAAGUAUGGACUUGACUCUGAGAUAGUAGCUUCUCUAUGUGAAUCUUUUGCUGCUCAUGUUGAUCUUCCCAAAGAGAAGUGGUUUAAAUAUCAUCCUCCUGUAGAAAGCAACAUAGCCCAAACCAAUCUAGUUGAGGAGAAAAUCAUUGCUUUUAGUGAUCCUGUUGUUUCUUGUGCUUACACUGAGAAACCACCAUACCCUGCUAGGAUAAAGGAUUAUUCUAAAGCUCCAACUGUGAUACGUAGGGGGUACAUUAGACCACUUGCACCCCCUGAGGAGAUUAGAGUUGAACCUAGUGUUGCUAUUAUCAAAGAUCUCUUAGCCGAAGAGAUAGACGGGCAUGUUAUCAAAUUAUGUGAGGACUCCGCUAGAAUUGCUAAACCUCACGCGAAGGACAAACAUGGACCUGUAGUUGGCAUGCCCGUUGUUUCUGUCAAGAUAGGAGAUCACUGUUACCAUGGUUUAUGUGAUAUGGGAGCUAGUGUUAGUGCAAUACCCCGUUCUCUAUAUGAUGAAAUGAAAGAUGAGAUUGCACCUGCUGAGUUAGAACCCAUUGAUGUUACUAUUACACUAGCUAAUAUAGACACUAUCUGCCCUCUGGGAAUUGUGAGAGACGUAGAAGUCCUGUGUGGCAAGACGAAGUAUCCUACUGAUUUCCUCAUGCUUGGUACUGCAGAAGAUAGCUUUUGUCCCAUCAUAUUCGGUAGACCCUUUCUCAACACUGUCAAUGCUCACAUUGAUUGCAUUAAGCAGACCGUCACUGUUAGUUUCGAGGGUGUGUCUCAUGAAUUUAACUUCUCCAAGUUUCGAAGACAACCCCAUGAAAGAGAGUCGUCUGGUAGAGAUGAAAUCAUUGCUCUUGCCUCUAUUGCCGUACCUCCUACGGAUCCUUUAGAGCAAUAUCUGCUUGAGCAUGAAAAUGAUAUGCAUAUGGAGGAGAGAGAUGAGAUAGAUAAAAUUGUCUUAGAACAAUAUCCUAUUCUCAAGAAUAAUCUGCAUGUUGAACUGCUUGGGGAUCCUCCCCCACCAAAGGGUGAUCCUGUGUUCGAGCUUAAAUAGUUGCCUGAUACUCUUAAGUAUGCCUAUCUUGAUGAGAAGGAGAUAUAUCCUGUCAUUAUUAGUGCUCACCUCUCAAAGCACGAAGAGAAGAAGUUACUAAGAACUCUGAGGAAGCACCAUGGUGCUAUUGGAUAUACUCUUGAUGAUCUUAAGGGUAUUAGUCCUACUCUAUGUCAGCACAAGAUUAAAACUGAUCCUGACUUCAAACCAGUUGCUGCUCAUCAAAGGAGAUUGAAUCCUAAGAUGAAAGAGGUCGUUAGAAAAGAAAUAUUAAAGCUUCGGGAAGAAGGAAUCAUUUAUCCUGUUGCUCAUAGUGAUUGGGUAAGUCCAGUACAUUGCGUACCUAAGAAGGGAGGUAUCACCGUCGUUCCUAAUGAUAAGGAUGAACUAAUCCCACAAAGGAUUAUUACCGGCUAUAGGAUGGUGAUAGACUUCCGGAAACUGAACAAGGCAACCAGGAAAGAUCAUUAUCCUUUGCCAUUUAUCUACCAAAUGCUAGAAAGGCUAUCAAAGCACACACACUUUUGCUUUCUAGACGGUUAUUCAGGUUUCUCGCAGAUACACGUUGCACAAUCUGAUCAAGAGAAAACCACUUUCACCUGCCCUUUCGGUACCUUUGCCUAUAGACGUAUGCCUUUUGGCUUAUGCAAUGCACCUGCCACCUUCUAAAGAUGUAUGAUGGCUAUAUUCUCUGACUUUUGUGAAAAGAUUGUCGAGGUUUUCAUGGAUGACUUCUCCGUUUACGGGUCUUCCUUUGAUGAUUGCCUCAGCAACCUUGAUCGAGUCUUACAGAGAUGCGAAGAAACCAACUUCGUCUUGAAUUGGGAGAAGUGCCACUUUAUGGUUAAUGAAGGUAUCGUCUUAGGACACAAAAUCUCUAAAAGAGGCAUUGAAGUUGAUAAGGCUAAGGUUGAUGCAAUUGAGAAAAUGCCUUGCCCCACAGAUAUCAGAGGUAUACGAAGUUUCUUAGGUCAUGCUGGUUUCUAUAGAAGGUUCAUUAAAGACUUAUCUAAGAUUUCUAGGCCUCUUACCAACCUCUUGCAGAAGGAUGUUCCUUUUGUUUUUGAUGAGGAUUGUGAGGAAGCUUUCGAAAUACUUAAGAAGGCUUUGAUAACCGCACCUCUUGUUUGACCACCUGACUGGAACUUGCCCUUUGAAAUCAUGUGCGAUGCUAGUGAUUAUGAUGUUAGUGCUGUUCUAGGACAAAGAGUUGACAAGAAGUUGAAUGUUAUUCACUACGCUAGUAAAACUCUAGACAGUGCUCAAAGAAACUAUGCCACUACGGAGAAGGAAUUUUUAGGAGUCGUGUUUGCAUGUGAAAAGUUUAGAUCUUAUAUAGUUGACUCCAAAGUCACUAUUCACUCUGAUCAUGCUGCUAUUAAGUACCUUAUGGAGAAGAAGGACGCUAAGCCUAGACUGAUCAGAUAGGUUCUCCUGCUACAGGAAUUUGAUUUGCACGUCGUUGACCGAAAGGGUGCUGAUAACCCUGUAGCAGAUAACUUAUCUAGGCUAGAGAAUGUCCUUGAUGACCCACUACCUAUUGAUGACAGCUUUCCUGAUGAGCAACUAAAUGUCAUCCGCACUUCACAUAGUGCACCGUGGUAUGCCGAUUACGCAAAUUAUAUCGUAGCCAAAUACAUACCACCCAGUUUCACCUAUCAGCAAAAGAAGAAAUUCUUCUUUGAUUUGAGACACUACUUUUGGGAUGAUCCUCACCUUUAUAAGGAAGGAGUAGAUGGUGUUAUUAGACGUUGUGUGCCUGAACAUGAAUAGGGAGAGAUCUUGUAGAAGUGUCAUUCCGAAGGCUACAGAGGACACCAUGCUGGAGAUAGAACUGCCCAUAAGGUACUGCAAUCAGGUUUCUAUUGGCCCACUCUCUUCAAGGAUGCCCGUAAGUUUGUCUUGUCUUGUGAUGAAUGCCAAAGAAUAGGGAAUAUCAGUAAGCUUCAGGAAAUGCCUAUGAACUAUUCACUUGUCAUUGAACUAUUUGAUGUCUGGGGCUUUGAUUAUAUGGGACCCUUCCCAAGUUCCAAUGGGUACACUUACAUCUUAGUUGCUAUGGAUUACGUUACUAAGUGGGUAGAAGCUAUCCCCACUAAAAAUGAUGAUCACCACACCUCUAUUAAGAUGCUUAAAGAAGUCAUAUUCCCAAGAUUUGGAGUCCCUAGAUACUUGAUGACUGAUGGCGGUUCACACUUCAUUCAUGGUGUUUUCCGCAAGAUGCUAGCUAAGUAUGAUGUCAACCAUAGAGUUGCAUCUCCUUAUCAUCCUUAGUCUAGUGGUCAAGUGGAGUUGAGUAAUAGGGAGAUCAAGUUGAUCCUACAAAAGACCGUCAAUAGAUCUCGAAAGAAUUGGUCUAGCAAACUUGACGAUGCACUAUGGGCUUAUAGGACUGCUUAUAAGAAUCCCAUGGGCAUGUCACCAUAUAAAAUGGUUUACGGUAAGGCCUGUCAUUUACCUCUUGAGCUGGAACACAAAGCUUAUUGGGCAAUCAAAGAGCUCAACUUUGAGUUCAAACUUGCCGGUGAGAAGCGGUUGUUUGAUAUCAGCUCGUUAGAUGAAUGGAGAGCCCAGGCAUAUGAGAAUGCCAGGUUGUUCAAGGAAAAGGUUAAGAGAUGGCAUGACAAACGAAUACAGAAACAAGAGUUCAAUGUAGGUGAUUAUGUCUUGCUAUACAAUUCUCGUUUGAGAUUCUUUGCAGGCAAGCUUCUCUCUAAAUGGGAGGUCCCUAUGUUAUCGAGGAAGUAUAUCGUUUCGGUGCCACCAAAAUCAAUAACACGGAAGGAAAUUUUCCUAGAGUGGUAAAUGGGCAAAGAAUCAAGCAUUACAUCUCUGGUACUCCCAUAAAUGUUGAGACCAAUAUCAUCAAUGUAAUAACUCCAGAGGAGUACAUAAGGGAUGUUUAUUAGCGUGUUUCAGACCCUGAAAACGAAGAGCUAUCUGUUUCGGUAAGAAAUUGGACUCCGAUGCUUUUCCAAUAGGAAAUUUCUUAUGUUUUGGAAUUUUUGGAAAAUUAGAAAAAUAAAAAGCAGUCCAGAGAGCGAACGAGGCGGCCACAAGCCCUGCAACCGCCCCUACCCCCCUGGUGGCAGAGGGCAAGCUUGUGGGCACCUCGUGUGCCUCCCGGACUCCGUUUUCUUGCGGAGGACUCCUUCUAGCCCAGAAAAAAUCAAUAUAUACUCGCCCGAAGGUUUUGAUCUCCGUAUCGCGCAGUUUUCCUCUGUUUUCGUUUCGAGCUUGUUCUGCUGCAGAUCUAGGUCAAGAUGUCUUCUCAAGAUUCAGAGGGAGAGAGCUAUGUGGCUGACUACCUUGCUAACCCCAAGGUCUAUGGGGACUUGGAACCAUAUGGCUGGACCACUAAUGAGGAAGAGGACUAUAAGCCCAAAGGGAAGGAGCAAACGAGUUCCGAUGAAGAGGAGGCUCCUCUACCUUAACCUGCAAACACCCAUGUGGAGUUCAAGAAGUUAAGCCUCCCUGAUCAUAGGAAGAAGCCUAAGACCUUGUUUAUCCCUUCUCAUUUCUUGCAGGAGAGUAAGCAGGAACUUUGACAUAGAAUGUUGAAACUUGAGGAAGAAAAUGACGAUCUAAGGGAGCAGAACUUCUUGCUCAAGUGGAAAUUAGACAAGCUCAAGACUGCUCCAACAACACCACCAUCAGCACCGAAGGAAGACAACUAAGCAUUGGUAUGGGCAAUCCCCUUGGCUUCUGCCAAGCUUGGGGGAGUUGCCCUGGUAUCGUAUCACCUUUAUAUCUUUUGCUUUUACCUUUGUUUUAGUUAUUUCCUUUUCAAUUUUUAUUUCUUUUCUUAGAGGAAUAAGUCUUUAGUAUUUAGUUUGAGUCUUUUGCUUUUGCCUCUCCCCCGAUGUAUUCGAGCUCGCGAGCUAUAUAAUAAAGAGUGUCUUAGUCAAGGGCUUUGCUUUGUGCCAUGAUCAAAAGUAUGAAAAGAACGAUAGCAUGAAAGAUCAUGAGACGAUCUUAUCGAAAGUGAUAACUUCACUUAUGACUCGUAUGAUGAUUGAAACUUGUUGAGAAUAAAUCAACAUAGACCUCAGUCAUUGUUGCAAUUAAUAAGAAGUAAUAAGGAAAGAGAGGUUCACAUAUAAAUAUAUCAUCUUAGACACUUUUUACAAUUGUGAGCACUCACCAAACUAUUACAUGCUUAGGAGUAGAUGUUGGACAAGGAAGACAACAUAAUGAAUUGUGUUUGCUUGGUUCCAAACAAUGUUAUAUGAUUAGAGAUCCCUUAGCAUGUGACGAUUGCUUCCACCUAAUAUUAGCCAAAACUCCCGCACCAAGUAGAGAUACUACUUGUGCAUCCAUAAACCUCCAACCCAGUUUUGCCAUGAGAGUCCACCAUACCUACCUAUGGAUUGAAUAAGAUCCUUCAAGUAAGUUGUCAUCGGUGCAAGCAAUAAAAAUUGCUCUCUAAUAUGUAUGAUCUAUUAGUGUGUGGAACAUAAGAUUUGUACGAACCUGUGAUGAGGAAGACAUAAAAGCGACAGACUGCAUAAUAAAAUUCUUUAUCAUAGGAGGCAAUAUAAAGUGACGUUCCUCCGCACUAAGAGGAUACGCAUUCAAACCUCAAAAGCGCAUGACAACCUCUGCUUCCCUCUGCGAAGGGCCUAUCUUGUACCUUUACUUUUUGCCGUUGUAAGAGUCAUGGUGAUCUUCACCAAUUCCCUAUUUUUGCCUUUGUCUUGGCUACCGUCACAUGCUUGGGAAAGAUCCAUAUUCAUAUAUCAACUUGGAGUUGAGUACUUAUGCUUUAUUACUGUUGACUUUACCCUUGAGGUAAAUAGUUGCGAGGCAAAACUAUAAGCCCCUAUCUUCCUUUGUGUUCAACUGAAACUCUGACACCAUGAGUACCACGUGAGUUGUAACAAUUGUGGAAAACAAAAGAGAUGAUUGAGUAUGUGGAUUUGCCUUACAAGCUCUUAUUUGACUCUUUCUGAUGUUGUGAUAAAUUGCAAUUGCUUCAAUGACUAUGGUUUAUUGUUGGUUACUUCUCGCUAAGGUUUUUGCUUCAUACUUUGCUUUGUGAAGGAAUUGUUACUUUCCCAUAAGAAUCUUUAUGAUGUAUUGUUGUUCUAUGUGUGAUCAUGAUGCCCUCAUGUCCGUAUUAUGUUUUAUCGACACCUUCGUCCCUCAACAUGUGGACAUGUUUAUGGAACUUGGUUUUCGCUUGAGGACAAGCGAGGUCUAAGCUUGGGGGAGUUGAUACGUCCAUUUUGCAUCAUGCUUUCAUGUUGAUAUUUAUUGUUUUAUGGGCUGUUAUAUUACUUGUGGUACCAUAUUUAUGCCUUUUAUCUCUUAUUUUGCAAGGUUUAUUUGAAGAGGGAGAAUUCCGGUAGCUGGAAUUCUGGACUCGAAAAGGAGCAAAUCUUAGUCCACUAUUCUGCACAUCUCGAAAUGCUCUGAAAAGUUACGUGGAUUUUUUGGGAUUAUAUAAAAAAUAUUGGGUGAAAGAACUACCGGAGGGGGGUUGCCAGGCCGCCACAAGCCCUGACACCGCCACCCCCUGGUGGCCGAGUGGGGGCUUGUGGGCUCCCUCACGGCCCACUAGCCCCCUCUUUUGCUAUAUGAAGGGUCUUGGUCCAGAAAAAAAAAAUCAAUAGGGAGCUUUUUCAUGGUUUCGUCGCCGCCACGAGGCGGAACUUGAGCAGAUCCAAUCUAGAGCUCCGGCAGGACGAUCCUGCCGGGGAAACUUCCCUCCCGGAGGGGGAAAUCGUCGCCAUCGUCAUCACCAACACUCCUCUCGUCGGAGGGGAGGCAUCUUCAUCAACAUCUUCAUCAGCACCAUCUCCUCUCCAAUCCCUAGUUCAUCUCUUGUAAUCAAUCUCCAUCUCACGACUCCGAUUGGUACUUGUAAGGUUGCUAGUAGUGUUGAUUACUCUUUGUAGUUGAUGCUAGUUGGACUACUUGGCGGAAGAGUUUAUGUUCAGAUCCUUGAUGCCAUUUAUUACACAUCUGAUCAUAAUUAUGAUUAUGUUUUGUGAGUAGUUACUUUUGUUCCUAAGGACAUGGGAUAAGUCAUGUUAAUAAUAGUCAUGUGAAUUUGAUAUUCGUUCGGUAUUUUGAUAUGUUGUAUGUUGUCUUUUCCUCUAGUGGUGUUAUGUGACGUCGACUACAUAACACUUCACCAUAUUUGGGCCUAGAGGAAGGCAUUGGGAAGUACUAAGUAGAUGAUGGGUUGCUGGAGUGACAGAAGCUUAAACCCCAGUCUAUGCGUUGCUUCGUGAGGGGCUGAUUUGGAUCCACUAGUUUAAUGCUAUGGUUAGACUUUGUCUUAAUUCUUCUUUUAUAGUUGCGGAUGCUUGCGAGAGAGGUUAAUCAUAAGUGGGAUGCUUGUCCAAGUAAGGGCAGUACCCAAGCGCCGUUCCACCCACAUAUCGAACUAUCAAAGUAACGAACGCGAAUCAUAUGAACAUGAUGAAACUAGCAUGACAAAAAUUCCCGUGUGUCCUCGGGAGCGUUUUUCCUCCUAUAAGACUUUGUUCACGCUUGUCCCUUGCUACAAAAGGGAUUGGGCCACUUGCUGCACCGUUGCUACUACUUUUGACUUGUUACUUUUUGCUUGCUACGUUUCACCUCGCUACACAAUCACUUGUUACCGCUACUUUCAGUGCUUGCAGUUAUUACCUUGCUGAAAUCUGUUUAUCACAACCUUCUGCUCCUCGUUGGGUUUGACAAUCUUACUUAUCGAUAGGACUACGAUUGAUCCCCUAUACUUGUGGGUCAUCAUGCGCCAUUACUAACGUCACACAGACCACCCCCCCCCCCGUGGAUCGCCUUUUAGGUUUUUAAAAAAAUAAAAGAAAAUGAUAAAAGAUUCAAAAAAAAUAGAUGCCCAUGUGUUAUGUGUUCUAGUUAUUAGGAAAAUUAACAAACAUGAAUUUUGAAUUUUUUUUUUUGCAAAAGGGCGCCGUGUUUCGGUAAAAUGGCAGUAACUUUUGCAUACGACCUCCGAUGAAAAAGUUUUUUAUAUGUGUACUCGAAAAGUUGCAUCCGAAUUCAACCGGGGGAACAUUGUUCAAAAUUUUUAGAAUCCCAAAAACCUAACAGAAAAAAAGUUAUGAUGCUUUUAAGAUUUGGAGGAUAUCAAAACUUUGAGUAGUAAUGAAAUUACUACUUUGGAUUUAUCUUUGCUUUUUUGCUUUCUGUUUUGUUGUGCCCACACCAUCAUAAUUCUGUUAUGAUUGUGCUUUUUGUGUUUCAGUUUGUGUUUGAGCCAAGUAAAACCUCUAUGACUAGUUUUGGUGAUGGUUGUUUGAUCUUACUGAAAAAGACAGAAACUUUGCGCUCACGGAAUUAUUUUUCAUUCCUAUCCAGAAAGAGAUUUUGAGUUGAUUCUUUUUGCUGCUGGUUGAUAUUCCAAUUGCCCAAAUUUUCAUAAUUUUUCAUAAUUUUUGAGAUACCAGAAGUAUAUGAAGAAUACAGAUUUCUACAGACUCGUCUGUUUUGACAAAUUCUGUUUUUGUUGUAUUGAUUGCUUAUAUUGAUGAAACUAUGGAUAGUAUCGGGGGUAAUAGCCAUGGAAAAGUGAGAAUACAGUAAUCUAAUACCAAUAUAAAUAGAAAUCAAGUUUGCUACAUUACCUAAAGAGUUGGUAGUUUGUUUUCUUGUGUUAAUGAUAUCACGAGUUUCUAUUUAAGUUUUCUGUUGUGAAGUUUUCAAGUUUUGGGUGAUGUUUUCAUGGACAAUGGGAUAAAGAGUGGAAAGAGAUCAAGUUUGGGGAUGCCCACCCCCCACCAGACAUAGCAAUGGAGCACCACACCUAGGUGCGCCAUUGCUAUGCUACAUAGGAGUGGCGCACCUAGGCGUGGUGCGCCAUUCCUAUUUUUUGGUCCAUCCCACCCACCAGACAUAGCAAUGGCGCACCUCACCUAGGUGCGCCACAUCUAUGCUACAUAGUAGUGACGCACCUAGGUGUGGUGCGCCAUUACUAACGUCACACAAACACAAACACCCCCCCCCUGUGGGUCGACUUUUAGAUUUUUUGAGAAAUAAAAGAAAAUGAUAAAAGAUUCAAAAAAAAUUCAAAAAAAUAGAUGCCCGUGUGUUAUGUGUUCUAGUUUUUAGGAAAAUUAACAAACAUGAAUUUUGAUUUUUUUUUGCAAAAGGCCGCCGUGUUUCGGUAAAAUGGCCGUAACUUUUGCAUACGACCUCCGAUGAGAAAUUUUUUUAUAUGAAAAAUCAUCUACUCGAAAAGUUACAUCCAAAUUCAUCUAGGGGAACCCCGUUGAAGAUUUUUAGAAUCCCCAAAAACCUAACAGAAAAAAAGUUAUGAUGCUUUUAAGAUCUGGAGGAUAUCAAAACUGUGAGUAGUAAUGAAAUUACUGCUUUGGAUUUCAAGGAGUUCAAUUAUGAUAGUUGCUCUUUGAUUGAAUGUAUUUCCUUGAUGCAAUCCAUGCUAAACUCUCCACACGCUUAUAGUCAAAACAAGGCCUUUACCGAUCAUUUCGUCGAUGCUAUGGUGAAAUCUCUUAAAGAGAAACUUGAGUUGGAAGUUUCUAUCCCAAGAACUUCAUGAUGAGUGGGAACCUACUAUCAAAAUUAAGAUCAAAAACUAUGAAUGCAAUGCUUUGUGUGAUUUGGGUGCUAGUGGUUCCGCUAUUCCAAAGUCUUUAUGUGAUGUUCUAGGCUUCAAUGAGAUUGAUGAGUGCUCUCUUAAUUUGCAUCUUGCGGAAUCUACUGUUAAGAAGCCCAUGAGAAGGAUCAAUGAUGUUCUUAUUCUUGCAAAUAGGAACUAUGUACCCGUGGAUUUCAUUGUGCUUGAUAUUGAUUGCAAUCCGACGUGUCCUAUCAUUCUUGGUAGACCUUUCCUAAGGACUAUUAGUGCUUUCAUCGAUAUGAAGGAAGGGAAUAUUUGAUAUCAAUUUCCAUUAAAGAAGGGCAUGGAACAUUUUCCUAGAAAUAAAUAAGAUUGCCUUAUGAAUCCAUGAUGAGUGCUACUUAUGGUUUGAGCACCAAAGACGACGAUACGUGAUUCUAUCGCCUUAUGCCUAGCUAAGGGCGUUAAACAAUAGCGCUUGUCGGGAGGCAACCCAAUGAAUUUAUCUUUGCUUUUUUGCUUUCUGUUUUGUUGUGUCCACACCAUCAUAAUUCUGUUAUGAUUGUGUUUUUUGUGUUUCUUUUUAUGUUUGAGCCAAGUAAAACCUUUAUGACUAGUUUUGGUGAUGGUUGUUUGAUCUUGCUGAAAAAGACAGAAACUUUGCACUCACAAAAUUAUUUUUCAUUCCUAUCCAGAAAGAGGUUUUGAGUUGAUUCUUUUUUAUGCUGGUUGAUAUUCCAAUUUCCCAAGUUGUCAUCAUGUUUCAGAAUUUUUGAGAUACCACAAGUAUAUGAAGUAUACAGAUUUCUAGAGACUAGUCUCUUUUUGACAGAUUCUGUUUUUUGUUGUGUUGAUUGCUUAUUUUGAUGAAACUAUGGAUAGUAUCGGGGGUACUAGCCAUGGAAAAGUGAGAAUACAGUAAUCUAACACCAAUAUAAAUAGAAAUCAAGUUUGCUACAGUAUCUAAAGAGUUGGUAGUUUGUUUUCUUGUGCUAAUGAUAUCACGAAUUUCUCUUUAAGUUUUGUGUUGUGAAGUUUUCAAGUUUUGGGUGACGUUCUCAUGGACAAUGGGAUAAAGAGUGGAAAGAGCUCAUGCUUGGGGAUGCCCACCCCCACCAGACAUAGCAAUGGUGCACCACACCUAGGUGCUCCACUGCUAUGCUACAUAGUAGUGGCACACCUAGGCGUGGUGCGCCAUUGCUACUUUUUGGUCCAUCCCCCCCCACCACACAUAGCAAUGGGGCACCACACCUAGGUGCGCCAUUGCUAUACUACAUAGUAGUGGCGCACCUAGGUGUGAUGCGCCAUUACUAACAUCACACAGACACAAUACCCCCCUCCCCCCCCUUGGAUCGCCUUUUAGGUUGUUAAAAAAUAAAAGAAAUGAUAAAAGAUUCAAAAAAAUAGAUGCCCGUGUGUUAUGUGUUCUAGUUGUUAGGAAAAUUAACAAACAUGAAUUUUGAUUUUUGUUUGCGAAAGGCCAUCGUGUUUCAAUAAAAUGGCCGUAACUUUUGCAUACGACCGUCGAUGAAAAAGUUUUUUUAUAUGAAAAAUCAUCUACUCAAAAAGUUACAUCCGAAUUCAACCGAGGGGACCCGAUUGAUGAUUUUUAGAAUCCCCAAAAACCUAACAGAAAAAAAGUUAUGAUGCUUUUAAGAUCUGAAGGAUAUCAAAACAUUGAGUAGUAAUGAAAUCACUACUUUGGAUUUCAAGGAGUUCAAAUAUGAUAGUUGCUCUUUGAUUGAAUGUAUUUCCUUGAUGCAAUCCAUGCUAAACUCUCCACACGCUUAUAGCCAAAACAGGGCCUUUACCGAUCAUAUCGUCGAUGCUAUGAUGAAAUCUCUUGAAGAGAAACUUGAGUUGGAAGUUUCUAUCCUUAGAAAACUUCAUGAUUAGUGGGAACCUACUAUCAAAAUCAAGAUCAAAAACUAUGAAUGUAAUGCUUUGUGUGAUUUGGGUGCUAGUGUUUCCGCUAUUCCAAAGUCUUUAUGUGAUGUUCUAGGAUGAAAUAAGAUUGAUGAGUGCUCUCUUAAUUUGCAUCUUGCGGAUUCUAUUGUUAAGAAACCCAUGGGAAGGAUCAAUGAUGUUCUUAUUAUUGCAAAUAGGAACUAUGCACCCGUGGAUUUCAUUGUGCUUGCUAUUGAUUGCAAUCCGACGUGUCCUAUCAUUCUUGGUAGACCUUUCCAAAGGACUAUUGGUGCUGUCAUUGAUAUGAACGAAGGGAAUAUUAGAUUUCAAUUUACAUUAAAGAAGGGCAUGGAACAUUUUCCUAGAAAGAAAAUAAGGUUGCCUUAUGAAUCCAUGAUGAGGGCUACUUAUGGUUUGAGCACCAAAGACGACGAUACGUGAUUCUAUCGCCUUAUGCCUAGCUUAGGGCGUUAAACAAUAGCGCUUGUUGGGAGGCAACCCAAUGAAUUUAUCUUUGCUUUUUUGCUUUCUGUUUUGUUGUGUCCACACCAUCAUAAUUUUGUUAUGAUUGUGUUUUUUGUGUUUCUUUUUGUGUUUGAGCCAAGUAAAACCUUUAUGACUAGUUUUGGUGAUGGUUGUUUGAUCUUGCUGAAAAAGAAAGAAACUUUACGCUCACGAAAUUAUUUUUCAUUCCUAUCCAGAAAGAGCUUUUGAGUUGAUUCUUUUUGCUGCUUGUUGAUAUUCCAAUUGCCCAAAUUUGCAUAAUUGUUCAGAAUUCUUGAGAUAACAGAAGUAUAGGAAGUAUACAGAUUUCUACAGACUGGUCUGUUUUUGACAGAUUCUGUUUUUGUUGUGUUAAUUGCUAAUUUUGAUGAAACUAUGGAUAGUAACGGGGGUACUACCCAUGGAAAAGUGAGAAUACAGUAAUCUAACACCAAUAUAAAUAGAAAUGAAAUUUGCUACAGUACCUAAAGAGUUGGUAGUUUGUUUUCUUGUGCUAAUGAUAUCACGAGUUUCUGUUUAAGUUUUGUGUUGUGAAGUUUUCAAGUUUUGGCUGAUGUUCUCAUGGACAAUGGGAUAAAGAGUGGAAAGAGCUCAAGCUUGGGGAUGCCCACCCCCCACCAGACAUAGCAAUGGUGCACCACACCUAGGUGCGCCACUGCUAUGCUACAUAGUAGUGGCACACCUAGGCGUGGUGCCCCAUUGCUAUUUUUUUUGGUCCAUCCCCCCCCCCCCACCGAGACAUAGCAAUGGCGCACCACACCUAGGUGCGCGAGUGCUAUGCUAUAUAGUAGUGGCGCACCUAGGUGUGGUGCGCCAUUACUAACGUCACACAGACACACACACCCCCUAGAUUGCCUUUUAGGUUUCCUAAAAAAUAAAAGCAAAUGAUAAAGUUUCAAAAAAAUAGAUGCCCAUGUGUUAUUUGUUUUAGUUGUUAGGAAAAUUAACAAACAUGAAAUUUGAUUUUUUUUUGGCAAAAGGUCGUCGUGUUUUGGUAAAAUGGCCGUAACUUUUGCAUACGACCUCCGAUGAAAACUUUUUUAUAUGAAAAUCAUCUACUCGAAAAAGUUACAUCCAAAUUCAACCAGGGGAACCCCGUUGAAGAUUUUUAGAAUCCCAAAAACCUAAAAAAAGUUAUGAUGAGUUACAUCCGAAUUCAACCACGGGAACCCCAUUGAAGAUUUUUAGAAUCCCCAAAAACCUAAUAAAAGUUAUGAUGCUUUUAAGAGGUGGAGGAUAUCAAAACUUUGAGUAGUAAUGAAAUUACUACUUUGGAUUUCAAGGAGUUCAAUUAUGAUAGUUGCUCUUUGAUUGAAUGUAUUUCCUUGAUGCAAUCCAUGCUAAACUCUCCACACGCUUAUAGCCAAAACAAGGCCUUUACCGAUCAUAUCGUCAAUGCUAUGAUGAAAUCUCUUGAAGAGAAACUUGAGUUGGAAGUUUCUAUCCCUAGAAAACUUCAUGAUGAGUGGGAACCUACUAUCAAAAUCAAAAUCAAAACUAUGAAUGCAAUGCUUUGUGUGAUUUGGGUGCUAGUGUUUCCACUAUUCCAAAGUAUUUAGGUGAUGUUCUAGGAUUCAAUGAGAUUGAUGAGUGCUCUCUUAAUUUGCAUCUUUCGGAUUCUACUAUUACGAAACCCAUGGGAAGGAUCAAUGAUGUUCUUAUUAUUGCAAAUAGGAACUAUGUACCCGUGGAUUUCAUUGUGCUUGAUAUUGAUUGCAAUCCGACGUGUUCUAUCAUUCUUGGUAGACCUUUCCUAAGGACUAUUGGUGUUGUCACCGAUAUGAAGGAAGGGAAUAUUAGAUUUAAAUUUACAUUAAAGAAGGGCAUGGAACAUUUUCCUAGAAAGAAAACAAGAUUGCCUUAUGAAUCCAUGAUGAGGGCUACUUAUGGUUUGAGCACCAAAGACGACGAUAUGUGAUUAUAUCGCCUUAUGCCUAGGUAAGGGCGUUAAACAAUAGCGCUUGUUGGUAGGCAACCCAAUGANNNNNNNNNNNNNNNNNNNNNNNNNNNNNNNNNNNNNNNNNNNNNNNNNNNNNNNNNNNNNNNNNNNNNNNNNNNNNNNNNNNNNNNNNNNNNNNNNNNNGAAUUCAUUGUGCUCAACCCAGAGACUGCCAUGGUUGUUUCCCCUCCCAUUCCUCAGCACAAUCUCAAUCCAGUUCAGCGCCUGCCAUUCUCAAAGCGGCCAAAGUUUUAGAAAGAGAAUUUCUUUGAGGAACGCAUGUAUUUCAUCGGAGAGAGUCCUUAUGACAAGCCUCAAAUGAGGCAUCUGAAGUUUUGGACAAGGACUCAGAUGAACUACUAUGCUUCUGUGCUCUGUGGCCGCAACAAGAUAUUCCAGAACAAGCACAUUCCUCAUGAUGAACUUGAAGAGAUUCCCUGCAUGGAACCAGUCCUCAGUGUACUACAUGAUGCAGGUUUGCUCCCUAUGUGCUCCGACAUAUCAGAUUGGAAUAGUGAGCUAAUUCUUCAGUUCUAUUCAACUCUGCACAUCUCGGGCAAUGCUGAUGACAUCAACACUUGGGUGUUCGACUGGAUGACCCAAAAUACUCACUACAAGGCUCCAGCGUCUGAACUCCUCAGAGAACUGCCCGUACCAAUUCCUUCAGAAGGGGCAGUGAAGCUUUAUGGUGAGCGUGAGCUGCCAAAUGGAAUGAUGGAAGUCCUCAUGAAGCCUUUGGCUGCAAGAAAACCCUCAAGAACCACAUUCCUCGUCCAUGAGCUCAAGUACACACCCCGGACUGUCUACCGCAUUCUCUGCAGUGUGCUAGCGCCAAUCAAAGGCCAUGAUUAUGACGAAGAUGUCGUCGGCCUCAUGAAGAAUAUCCUCUUCAACAUCAUUCACGGUAUCCCCAUGAAUAUCCAUGAUUUCUUCUUGAGGACUUUGGCUGACAAUGCAAUGUGCCCAUAUGAUCACAAAAUUUAUGCACCAUGGAUCAUGAGAUUCCUCAGGACAAGGACAUGCAUCAACUUUCAUGCAGAUUUCCAGAACCAUGUUGGUUAUAUGCCUCCUAUCCGGGUCAACAAGAAGACUUUCGAGCCCAUUGAGGGAAAAGGAAAGUCUAUGAUUGAUGAAGGCAGCAGUCCUCUUGAUGGUCAAUUUAAAGAGCCAGAUGCAUAUUCCUCAUUGGACGAUACUGAGACUCGUUCGCCAAGCCCAGUUCCUCCUCGCGUGCUAAACACCAGAGAGCUUCUUCUCAGUCUUCAUCAGAAGGUGGAUCACAACCACAAAUGGGUCAAACGCCAGUUUGGUGCCAUUGUGAAAACCCUCACUGAGACACAGAACAGUGUGAAGCUUAAUCAUCACUAUCUGCAUGAGGUUUUUGAUCGCACCUGGGCUACCCUUGCACAUCUGAAGACCCAGACUGAGCUUGAAGAAUUGAACUUUGAGCAGGACUUUGACUGGUCGUGGCCUCCCAAGAAGAAGUUCAGGCCCAUUCCAGUGCCAGAUCUUGAAGACAGCUCCUUCUCGUCCUUCCGCACUGCCGAAUCUGAUGAGGAACAACUUGACACCGCAACAGGCCCAAGGAAGAAGACUACACCCAAGAAGCGCCAAGGAUCUUCAUCAACUGCCACGAAAUGAAGUCUUCACGGGCGUUAGUCCUUAGUUUGUCCCUUUUUUUGUCACUUGAUGACAAAGGGGGAGAAAUUUGAGAGUUAGUCUUCAAACGGGGUUUUUUUUGGGGCUUAUGAACUAUAUUUAAGUUACAAACUCUUGGCUCUUCUGAAGUUUUUAUGUAAUGAGUUGUAACUUAAGCCCGAUGGUACUCUGACGCUUUUGAACGUUUUUCUUCGCAUGCUUAUUCCUCAAGUUUUAAUGCACGCAUGCUGAAAUUCGUCAGAUACCAUUUGCCAUCAUGCAUCUUCAUUUUCUUCAUAUAAUAUGUUAUAUGUAUGCAUGAUUUACAAGAUUCAGGGGGAGAUCUCCAUGAUAUAAAUCAUCAAUGUGCAUAUGCUAUAAAAGCAAAAUCCUCAAGGUAUGCACAUCUUCAGGGGGAGUCUCUGUGAAUCUUGUUUUCAAAUUCCUCAAAUGAGUAUUUACACUUCAUAUUUUUGAUCCCUGUUGAAGACUUAACCUAAUUGUCAUCAACCACCAAAAAGGGGGAGAUUGUAAGUGCAUCUAGUGCCCCUUACUGAUUUUGGUGGUUUGAAGACUUAUAGGUUAAGUAUCUAAUGUGUUUAUAAGUGUACACAGGAUCUAUAAGUCAUUGAGGAGUUUGAGAUAUUUGAAGAAUAUCGACCCCUAAAAAUAUAUGUCUUCAAUUGAAGAAAUUGGUCUGAAGCUGAAGAAAUGAAUCGCGAAGAAUUUGCGAUGAAAUGGAUAUUCCUCAUGAAGAUAUUGAUAUUGAGAAGAUCGGUGGUUCCUGAAGAAAAUCGUUCUGAAGAAAUUGAAGCAUGAAGAUUUACGUUUUCUGUUUCACUUUCUUCGCAUUUGAUGAAUAGGAACACCGUACUGUUAAAGGGGGUCAAAGUAACGCUAUGGAAUGAAUUUCCUCAUGAUGCUCAACCCAAGCCAAAUACUACCAAAAGCCUCAAGUGAGAAAUAUGAGUGACAUGAGGACUCUCACAGUUGAGAGUCCCGACCGUUUCGAUAAGCCAUGCCAAGUCACUGAUCUUAUCCACUCCAACGGUCAUAUUAUUUAAGGGCAUUAAUGUCAAAUCAUGUCGGGAUGCUCCCAGGCUAUAAAUAGCCGCCCCCCACAACCACUAGCUGGUUGGCUGCUCCGUUAGAAACUGACACUUGUCAUAAGAGCAACCCAAAUUCCUCAGAGCUUUCGAGAGUAAAUCAUCAGUGAGGAAAUACACCACCCACCGAAACCACAAACCAAACCUAGUGAUUGAGCAUCACUGAAGAAGUUGUUCCUGUGUGGGACUGAAGCCUUUUACCUUUGAGGACUGUGCAUCCUCCAGACGGUUAGGCGUCAUGGUCUAGAGCAAUCCAGCAGUCAAUUGUGGAUCGCCGGGUGACCGAGUUUGUGAGGGUUUGGAAGUCUGCCCUGAAGACUUACCACGAGUGUUGGGCGAGGACCGUGUGUCCUUAGCUCAAGGAGAGUACGGUAGGGACUGUGUGUCCCGGGACUGGGUGUCCUUUGGAUUAAAUACCAAGCCGCUCCAAACCAGAUGUACAACUGUCACAGCAGUUGGAACUGGGUCAUCAACAACAGUCUUCACCAAGAAUCGGGUUCUAAUUCCUCAACUCUUUACAUUCUCUGUAUUAUGUGUUGAUGACAUUCACUGUGACUGUUUGAAGAAUUUGCUGAAGACUUUCUCUGAAUUUCCUCAACUCCAAAUUCUUCACUUGAGUUAAUCAUCAUCUGUUUUCUGCGUGCCUGCUUACUGUGCAAUCUGUUUUCAUAAUCUUCACUCUGUAAUACUGCUGUUGUGAACGAUUGCACGACUGAUCCUUAACUGUUUCCGCUGUAAGUUAGUCAUCAGUGAGGAAUUUCCUCAAAAGGAAUUUCCUCAGUGAUGAAAUUCUAAAAAUCUCCUAUUCACCCCCUCUAGUCGAUAUAACGCACUUUCAACCAUGCGGGAGAUAGAACUGCACACAAGGUAUUGCAAUGAGGUUUCUAUUGGCCCACUCUCUUCAAGGAUGCCCGUAAGUUUGUCUUGUCUUGUGACGAAUGUCAAUGAAUAGGUAAUAUUAGCAAACGUCAGGAAAUGCCUAUGAACUAUUCAUUUGUCAUUGAACCAUUUGAUAUUUGGUGCUUUGAUUAUAUGGGACCUUUUCCAAAAUCCAACGGGUAUACUCAUAUCCUAGUUGCUGUGGAUUACGUCACUAAGUGGGUAGAAGCUAUCCCCACUAGUAGUGUUGAUCACAACACCUCUAUCAGGAUGCUGAAAGAAGUUAUCUUCCCUAGAUUUGGAGUCCCUAGAUAUCUAAUGACCAACGGUGGUUCACACAUCAUUCAUGGUGCUUUCCGUAAAACGCUUGCUAAGUACGAUGUCAACCAUAGAAUUGCAUCUCCCUAUCACCCUCAGUCCAGUGGUCAAGUAGAGCUAAGUAAUGGAGAGAUUAAACUGAUUCUGCAAAAGAUUGUCAACAGGUCUAGAAAGAAUUGGUCUAAGAAGCUCGAUGAUGCACUGUGGGCUUAUAGAACUGCCUAUAAGAAUCCCAUGGGCAUGUCUCCGUACAAAAUGGUGUACGGUAAAGCAUGUCAUUUACCUCUUGAGCUAGAGCAUAAAGCUUAUUGGGCAAUCAAAGAGCUCAACUUUGAUUUCAAACUUGCCGGUGAGAAGAUGUUAUUGGAUAUUAGCUCGCUUGAUGAGUGGAGAACUCAGGCAUAUGAGAAUGCCAAGCUGUUCAAAGAGAAGGUUAAGAGGUGGCAUGAUAAGAGGAUACAAAAGCAUGAGUUCAACGUAGGUGAUUAUGUCUUGCUAUAUAACUCUCGUUUAAGAUUCUUUGCAGGCAAGCUUCUCUCUAAAUGGGAAGGUCCCUAUGUUGUUGAGGAAGUAUAUCGUUCCGGUGCUAUCAAGAUCAACAACACGGAAGGUAAUUGUCCGAGAGUGGUAAAUGGGCAGAGAAUCAAGCAUUAUAUCUCAGGUACUCCCAUAAAUGUUGAAAGCAAUAUUAUCAAUACAUAACUCCGAAAGAAUACCUAAGGGAUAUUUAUCAGCCUGUUUCAGUCUCCGAAAACGAAGAGGUAUGUGAUUCGAUAAGAAAACAGAGUCCAAAACUUUUCUAGUAGGAAAUUUUCUCCAUUUUGGAAUAUUUGAAAAAAAUACAAAAAUUGGAAGUAGUCUGGAAAGUGCGCGAGGAGGCGACAAGCCUGCACGGCACGGGCCCACCCCCUGGUCACGCCGUGAGGGCUUGUGGCCACCUCAUGCGCCUCCCGGCCUCCGUUUUCGUGCGGACUCCUUCUGGUCUAAAAAAAUCAUUAUAUAUACUCCCGUCUGGUCUGACCCCUGCAUCACGCAGAUUCCCUCUGUUUUUCUUUUCGAGCCUGUUUCUCUUGCAGAUCUAGAUCGCUAUGACUUCCCAAAAGCUAUGAAGGACAAGAUCUUCGAGAAGGUCAUCAAUCCCUACCUCACGGGAGUGCUGCAACACCCUCAAUCUAUCGAGAUGCGUGAGGGGAUGUUGCACAUCUGUGAUGUUGAGGGGCCUAAGAAGAUCGGAAGCAUGGAGACGAGGCUCGAAGCAGUGGAGCAACAAGUCUUCAAGUGCCAAGGGAUGGUGGAGCGUGGACUCAACGCCAACCACGUGAUGAUCAUGGAGUUCACCAACAAGCACAGGAUUGAUGCCAAUAACAUUGGGAAGCAUCUCUCCAGGCUCUAUGACAGGAUUGAUCAACUCCAGGCCCAGAUCUAUGACCUGCAAAACCAAAAUUGUGAGUAUGAGUAUAGAUUUAAAUCAAUACGGUUGGCUACAGAUUUGAGGAUUCCGGAGACUCGUUCAUCUUUCCAUGAUGGAGCACCUAUGCCUUGGAAGACGGAUGAUCAAACUCAUGUUGCAACAACUCCACCUUCACCACCAAAGGAAGACACCUGAGCAUUGGUAUGGGCAAUCCCCUUGGCUUGUGCCAAGCUUGGGGGAAUUGCCCCGGUAUCGUAUCACCAUCACAUCUUUUGCCUUUACCUUUGUUUUAGUUUUCCUUUUCAGUUUUAUCUUUCUCUAGUACAUUAAAAGUCUUAGUGUUUUAGUCUUGAGUUUUGCUUUGUGUCACCCCCGAUGUAUUCGAGCUCGUGAGCCAUAUAAUAAAGAGUGUCUUAGUUGAAGGGCUUUGCUUCUUGCCAUGAUCAAAAGAGUGAGAAUAGAACAAAAGCAUGAAAGAUCAUGUAAUGAUCUUAUGGGAAGUGAUGGCUUCACAUAUAAAAAGGAUGAGGAUUGAAACUUGUUGAGGGUAGGCAAACGUAGACCUUGGUCAUGGUUGCAAUUAAUAGGAAGUGAUAAAGAAGGAGAGGUUCACAUAUAAAUAUAUCAUCUCUCACACCAUCUAUGAUUGUGAACACUCACUAAACUAUUACAUGCCUAGAAGUAGAUGUUGGACAAGGAAGACAACAUAAUGAAUUGUGUUUGCUUGGUUCCGAACAAUGAUAUAUGAUUAGAGAUCCCUUAGCAUGUGAUGAUUGCUUCCACCUCAUAUUAGCCAAAACUCCCGCACCAAGUAGAGAUACUACUUGUGCAUCCAUAAACCAUCAACCCAGUUUUGCCAUGUGAGUCCACCAUACCUACCUAUGGAUUGAAUAAGAUCCCUCAAGUAAGUUGUCAUAGAUGCAAGCAAUAAAAAUUGCUCUCUAAUAUGUAUGAUCUAUUAGUGUGUGUAAAAUAAGCUUUGUACGAACCUGUGAUGAGGAAGACAUAAAGGUGACAGACUGCAUAAUAAAGUUCUUUAUCACAGGAGGCAAUAUAAAGUGACGUUCCUCCGCACUAAGAGGACAUGCAUCCAAACCUCAAAAGCGCAUGACAACCUCUGCUUCCCUCUACGAAGGGCCUAUCUUGUACCUUUACUUUUUUCCCUUGAAAGAGUCAUGGUGAUCUUCACCAAUUCCUUAUUUCGCCUUUGUCUUGGCUAAUGUCAUAUGCUUGGGAAAGAUCUAUAUUCAUAUGUCAACUUGGAGGUAAGUAUUCAUGAAUUAUUAUUGUUGACAUUGCCCUUGAGGUAAGCAGUUGGGAGGCAAAACUGUAAGCCCCUAUCUUUCUCUGUGUCCAGCUGAAACUUUGAUCUCAUGAGUACCAUGUGAGUUGUAGAAAUUGUAGAGAACGAAAGAAUGAUUGAGUAUGUGGAUUUUCUUUACAAGCUCUUAUUUGACUCUUUCUGAUGUUGUGAUAAAUUGCAAUUGCUUCAAUGACUAAAGGCUAUCGGUUGUUACUUAUCGGUAAGGUUCUUGAUCCAUGCUUUACUUUGUGAAGGAAUUAUCACUUUAGCAUGAGAGAUUAUAUGUUGGUAUUGUUGUUCUGAUCAUGAUCAUGAUGCAUGCAUGUUCGUAUUUUGUUUUGUCCACACCUCUCUCCCUAAACAUGUGGACAUAUUUAUUGAGCUAGGCUUUCGCUUGAGGACAAGCGAGAUCUAAGCUUGGGGAGUUGAUACGUCCAUUAUGCAUCAUGUUUUCAUGUUGAUAUUUAUCGCUUCUUGGGCUGUGAUUUCACUUCACGGUACAAUACUUAUGCCUUUUCUCUCCUAUUUUGCAAGGUUUACAUGAAGAGGGAGAAUGCCGGCAACUGGAAUUCUGGCCUGAAAGUGGAGUAAAGUUGAGAUACCUAUUCUGCGCAACUCCAAACGUCGUAAAAAUCAACGAGGAUUUGUUUUCCGGAUUUAUAAAAAAUACAGGGCCGAAGAAGCGCCAGAGGGGCGCCAGCAGGUGGCCACAAGCCUGCACGACGCGGGCACCCCCUGGCCGCGCCAUGAGGGCUUGUGGGCAGCCUGCUGGCCCACUGCCCCCCCUCCUCGGCUAUAUGAAGGGUUUCGUCUAGGAAAAAAAUCAAGGAGGAGCUUUUUCGUGGAUUCGCCGCCGCCACGAGGCGGAACUUGAGCAGAACCAAUCUAGAGCUCUGGCAGGACGAUCCUGCUGGGGAAACUUCCCUCCCGGAGGGGGAAAUCGUCGCCAUCGUCAUCACCAAUAGUCAUCUCAUCGGAGGAGACUCAUCACCAUCAACAUCUUCAUCAGCACCAUCUCAUCUCCAAACCCUAGUUCAUCACUUCUAACCAAUCUCCGUCUCGCGACUCCGAUUGGUACUUGUAUGGUUGCCAGUAGUGUUAAUUACUCUUUGUAGUUGAUGCUAGUUGGAUUAUUUGGUGGAAGAGUUUAUAUUCAGAUCCUUGAUUCUACUCAUUACCUCUCUAGUCAUGAAUAUGAUUAUGCUUUGUGAGUAGUUACUUUUGUUCCCGAGGACAUGGGAUAAGUCAUGCUAAUAGUAGUCAUGUGAAUUUGGUAUUCGUUCGAUACUUUGAUGUGUUGUAUGUUGUUUUUCCUCUAGUGGUGUUAUGUGAACGUCGACUACAUAACACUUCACCAUUAUUUGGGCCUAGAGGAAGGCAUUGGGAAGUAGUAAGUAGAUGAUGGGUUGCUAGAGUGACAGAAGCUUAAAUCCUAGUUUAUGCGUUACUUCGUAAGGGGCUGAUUUGGACCCACUAGUUUAAUGCUAUGGUUGGACUUUAUCUUAAUUCUUCUUUCCUAGUUGCGUAUGCUUGCGAGAGGGGUUAAUCAUAAGUGGGAUGCUUGUCCAAGUAAGGGCAGUAUCCAAGCGCCGGUCCACCCACAUAUCAAACUAUCAAAGUAACGAACGCAAAUCAUAUGAACAUGAUGAAACUAGCAUGAUAGAAAUUCCCGUGUGUCCUCCGGAGCGUUUUCCUCCUAUAAGACUUUGUUCACGCUUGUCCCUUGCUACAAAAGGGAUUGGGCCACUUUGCAGCACCGUUGCUACUUUUGUUACUUGGUGCUCGCUACGAAUCAUCUCACCACUCAAUCACUUGUUACCGAUAAUUUCAGUGCUUGCAGAUAUUUCCUUGCUGAAAACCACUUGUCAGAUCUUUCUGCUCCUUGUUGGGUUUGACACUCUUACUUAUCGAAAGGACUACGAUUGAUCCCCUAUAUUUGUGGGUCAUCAAGACUCUUUUCUGGCGCCGUUGUCGGGGAGUGAAGCGCCUUUGGUAAGUGGAACUUGGUAAGGAAACAUUCAUAUAGUGUGCUGAAAUUUAUUGUCACUUGUCACUAUGGAUACUAAUCCUUUGAGGGGCUUGUUCGGGGUAUCUUCACCUCGAACGGAAGCACAAAUAGUUUCUCCUCAACCUGCUGCACCUACAAAAACGAAAGGAAACAAAUCUUCCUAGUCAAAUCUCAUAAGUACUCUAUCUAGCUUCUCCAAUGUAGGGUGUCUGUGUUUAUUAGUCCAGGUGUACUUGCCACCCCUCAUGUGGAUCUCCCGCUUGCUUAAGGAGUUAAUAGCCGUGCGGAAUUUAUCAAUGUAUUGGGAAUUACCAUGGUUUUUGUUCUUGUCAUGCACCCCUCAAAUGAUGUUCAAAUCACCACCUAUGAUAUAAGGUAUUCCAAUAUUGGUACAUGUAUGAGUCAUCUCAUCAAGGAAUUCAUCUUUACGAUCAUCAUGGGACGCCCCGUACACCAACACAAAGUGCCUAUAUACAUUGCUUUUUAACAUAAAAAACUAUAACCUGGAUAAGAAAGCUGCCAAUCGACCAGGAAAAAACUUCAAGGGUCUCUUUUCUAACCCCACAAAGUAUGCCACCAAAUCUAUCCAUGGAGGGGACAUGAUUCCAAGUAAAUCUGUCUAAGGGAUCAACUUUACGCAAGAAUUGAGGAGGAAACUUGUUUUACUGGUCUCUUGAAUGCCUAUGAAAUCAAGGGAAUGGUCUUUGAUGAUAUGAGAGAAAUAGGUAGCCAUCCCUCUCUUACCUGCUCCCCUACAAUUCCAUAAUACUCUUCAAUUAACAAUCGAGGUUUUUUCCCUUUCUUUGUAACCCUACUAGGAGUCAGAGUAGGGUUACCCUCAUCUUUUUUCAAGGAGGUAAAAUUUUUUGACUUCGAGUGAUAGGCCUAAUCAUAAAAACAUUAUGCUUUCUAUCUUUUUUUCUUUAUGGAUUUUACCACCGUGAACUCCCCAUCCUCUAAAUUGUUUUCCUCCCCCAGUUCACAUCAAAAGGAGUUUGAUCCCAUUUGGCAUUGGUGAGUACAAUAUUAUUCCCAGUGUGUUUAUCAAUUCCACCAUUAGAUUCUAUAUUUCUAGAAUUCUCAAGUUCUCAUCAGCAUCCAGUAUAUGAACCCCCAUUUUAACAACAGUUGUAAUCAACUCAUGGUUAGAUAAAGUAUCAAAGGAGUUGGUGAAGUCAGAAGUACCUUCGGUGUCCCUCUUUUUUGUAGCAGCUAUAACCUUGUCUUCAAUUUUCUCCGUCUUGUUCUGCACAUUUCGAAGGCUAAAGCGCAAAUUAUCUCCGGUAACCAAGGGGGAGUAGGGAUCACCUCAAGAUCCAUCUAGGAAUCAGGCGAUUCAACUCUGUAAUCACUAGAACCAUUAGCACCAGCCUCGCAGGUCGCGUCCACCUCCAUAACCUGAGGAGACUUCCUCACCACGUCAGCAAAAGAUUUCUUGUUGCUGCCAAGAUUUGUGUUAUUAUCAGUGUGAAUUUCUUUCAUCUUUUGACUUACUUUUUUUUUACCAUGAUCCACAUAGUCCAGUGCCACAGUGUCAAUUAGUAAUGUGGUAUGUAGCGACUCAUCCGAGUCCAUACUCCCCUGAGAUUCCUGGAUUUGAUCAUGCUUUCCUCCAUUCUGGGGGAUAGAAGGGGUUCCCCCUCCAAGCCCAGUGAAGGGACCAACCAGAUCAGGUUGUUUUUUCAUGCCAUUAUUAUCAGUUCCAAGAGACUUUUUUUUCCAGAGUUUAGCGAAGUAUGGACAAUGUUUUUUCUCUGUUAGGAUCUUUCACCAGAACCUGGUCCACCUCAUAAUAGAAAUCAUAGAAGUGACCACCCAAAACAGACUCAGCAACAGCAGAAACACAUCCACAUUUCUACAUCCAAGUUUCACCUGAGUAGAGGCCGGGCGAUGCAAAGUGGCCGCAUCAAUCUCCAAAGGGACCCCAACCAAGGAAGCAACAAAUGCAAGAUUUCUUUCAUUCCUUUCGUCAAGAGGAACAUUACUAAUUUUAACCCAGGCUACCUCCAUGCCCCCAUUGGAGCUAAUAGCUGAGGACCAUUUGGUAGCAUGAAUAAUAGCUCAACUGGCUUGAGCUCAGCUAUCCCCACAUAGCAUAUCUGUGCCACUUCGCGAGGAUUAGGAAAUCUAACCACAAAACCCCUGGACCAAUAGCAUGUUCCGAACAACGCAACCCAGUAGCGAGAUAGUCAUUCAGAUCUAGUUCCUUUGACGAGUAGAUGUCUCCCCCUCUGCGAUAGUAACUACAAUAUUAUUUGACCUCUCUUUCAUCUGAUUCGCAGUACACGAAUCAUGGAUAUAGUUGAAACCUUGCCCCUUAGACUGGAAUGCACACAUAGGAGCAAUACAUUCCCAAGGAAGGAAUUCUAGACACCCAGAAGCAAGGUGGCCUAGUUUGCUACAUUUCUCACAGAAAGCUUGUGGGCAAUAGAUAGGAGAAUGCUCAUGCAAUUUGCAGAUAGGACAAGGCUCAAGUUUCUUGGUAGGAUCCACCUGAUUGGUGUUCUGCUUCCCCUGAGACGCCGAGGUAGACGGGAGAUUUGUCGUUCGAUGCCAUCACCAGAUGAUUCAAAGGAACCCUGGUUCUUUGGCUUCCAGACCACCCCCUCUGGACUCUGUUGUUGCUUUGCUACCGCUGUUGCGUCCCAAUGGGAAGUGUCAUUGGAGACCAAUGCGACGUUGGACACAGAUGAGUUGUUGUGGACUUCAUCGCCCCUCUUCCAGGAGAACUUACUCUCGUCUCCUCCGCGGCCACCGCCUCGACCUGGUUGGCGACCGAGACCACGAGCACCAUGAUACGUCCCAAACGUAUCUAUAAUUUCUGCUUGUUCCAUGAUCUUUUGGGUGACAUUGUUAUAUGUUUUGCUACACUUUUAUAUCAUUUUACACAUAUUUGGACUAACCUACUAACUCAGUGCACCCAGUGCCAGUUUCUGUCUGUUGAUGUCUAUUUUGCACAGGCUUUUACCCAAUUUUCCGAAGCCCAAAAAAUUCCAGAAAAAUUAUAUCAAAAAUCAAUGAAACUGAAACUUACGGAUCACCGAAGAUGGACCAGAGGGGGGCUAGGGGCCUCCCAGGCGGCCUGCUGGCGCUACCAGGCCCUAGGCCGCUCCAGGAGGUCGCCUGGGUGGGUCCCACAUCCUCCGGUGCCCUCCUUUGGCCUAUAUUUAGAGUCCCGAGAGGAAACCCUUGCAGACUUUCUGGAAUCGCGAAUUUCUCCAUCGUUUCGCUGCCGCAGCGCUUCCGAGAUCGGGAGCGUCAGGAGACCUCUUCCCGGCACCCUGCCGGAGGGAGGAUUGACCUCGUGGAGCUUCUCCACCGGCAUGGACACUUCCCGGACGUGUCGUGAGUAGUCCUCCUUCGACCAUGAGUCCAUGACCAGUAACUAUGUGAUGUUUUCUCUCCAAUCUUGUGCUUCAGUGGUUAGUCCUUGUGAGCUGCCCUACAUGAUCAAGGCAUCUAUGUAAUUCUCUUGCUAUUGCUAUGCUCGGUUUGUUGGGAUCCUAUGGAUUAUGAGAUUAUGUUCGGGUUGUUAUGAGUUAUAUAUUUGAUUAUCCUUUUAUAUUAUGUUCCUUAGUGAUUCAUGCAUGUUCUCCAUUGCUAUUUAUUGCUUUGGCCGAGUAGUAGAUUGUAACUCCAAGAGGGAGCGUUAUGCAUGAUUGUGGGUUCAUGCCCCUCGAUGUCUAGCUUGAGUGACAGAAACAUGAGACUAGGAGAUGUGCUUGUUGCCACCAGGGAGAAAACAACGGUGCUUGUGACCACGGUUGCAAGGAUUGUUUACCUUGCACAUAGUUCGUUAAUGCAGUUGUCCGUUGCUUUGAGUUUACACUUUGGGUGGGGCUCGCAACUUAAUACCGGAGAGAUGUUCUGGAUAGAUAUCUCAAGGUGGAUGAUUAGUAAGUAUAUGCUGAUGAAUAAACGGUCUACUUGUCUUGGCGUACUGCCCAUUACUAUUGAACCUCUAACUAUCAAGUAGCAUAAUUAGCAUUGCGGUGUGAUCAUAAUUCUGUCAAUUGCCCAACUGUGAUUUGUUUACCGAAGCAUAGUUGUUUAUCGUCUUUUGGAAGAGAGACAUCACUAGUGAACAUCAUGUGACUCCGGUCCAUAUCACCAUCAUUGUUUACACCUCCAUCAUUUACCACUUUCAUUUAAUUUUUCGUUGCAAUCAUUGUUAUUUUCCCGCUUGUGUUUUGAUCCUUUGCAAACUACAAGGGCAGAGAGAUUGACAACCUCUCUAUACUCGUUGGGAGCAAAGUUAUUUGUUGUGUGUGAAGGUCCACGUCUUCUGCUAGCGUCAGGGUGGAAGACACCUACUUGUUGAGCCUAGGAGUCCUCUUGGUUCGAUAAACCUUACAGUCUUCGUGUAAGGGAAAUCUGCUGCUGACUACAUCUCCACCUUCCACUUGAGGUAACCAACGAGGGGCGAGAAGUAUGUCCAUCAAAUCGUCAUCACACCACGUUCGGGUUCCUCAGACCGGCCCCCACGGUACCCACGUCCUCUGUCUACCGUCAUGGUAGGAGAGGCUGCCACCGCCGCAAACGACCGCUGGUCACCCCCACCUUGCCUUUCCACCAACCAAAUGAAUCAGGAAUUCUGGAUCUAGUUUUUUCUACCGCCAUCCAGAAUUGGGAGAAGGAUUCUUCUAGGUCAAGCACCGAGGGAGGAAGAGGGAAUUUUAUAUCGGCACCUCCGCGGGUAUGGAGGAUCGGAUGGCCCCCACAUGUCGCACAUCCGCCAUUGUUGCCCGGUUGGUGGCGGCAGGUCCCGCCUCGGUCCACUGCGGUCCAUCUGACUGACGCCCCACGCGCCCCCACCACCCCUCCGCACUCCCGAUCAACCGCCGUGUUCGCCGAAACGCCGCUCGUCGCCGGUAAUUGGUCGCGAAUUCUCGCGAAAAGACAAGGAAAAGCAAUCACGUCACCUAUGACGAAGGUUUUCAAUGCGCGGAGGAAACGUACGUCAACCGUGACCCCGCGUGCAUCCAACAACACUAUCCGGAGGGCAUCACGACGGAGCAAAAGCACGACGUCAUUGAACGACAACGAUUUCGCCAUGAGGUCGACGAUGAAGGAGACCCGCCAUCUCGAAUCGCCCAGGUCGCCCAAAUCGCUGCUUAUCUCGCAAGCCAUCUAUAUAUCGUGUUAUUGUAUAAACUUUGGUUCGUUUUCCCGGUCGUUUUUGACCUGUAGGUCGUAUCCAAAGGGAGAAUUCCUACAUGGCCCCGGAAAGGAUGGGAUUGGGUGAGUUAUGUACCUGCACAUGAGUCCCAUGAUAGCGUGACUUGCUCUGCGCACGAGCUCCCGCACCUAGUUCAUGCGCUCCAAGCCUGCUGUGACUCUCGACGGGCCGUAUUCUCAGCUAUAGUGACCUUGUCCUGUCGUAGCCGGGCUCAGGGCAGCAGCACGACGCAUGGGGCACACCAGCCGGUGGUUGCAGACCAUGCAGUACACGAUAACACGACAGAGUCGAUAAAGUCCGUGUGACCAUGUCGUCCGUGUGACCGUGUCUAUCUCGUCGAGCUCUAAGUGUCACUCCUCAAUGCUUUUAGCAGCAAAACAUACACACGUAUGAGCUGACUUUGUAAGUAGAUAAGCAGGUUGGUUGAUUCUUCGUGAAGACACGUACAAGUUGGAUGUAUUCCUUCGGAGAUAGUAUCUCCGUACGUACGCAAGCCAUGCUGAUCGAAUUGAUCGAUAUACUCUGAUCUGGACGCACGCACACGGGACAUUCUGGGUUUAUUCCUUCGGAGAUGGUACAUGGAUCGACUGGGACCGUGGAGGCUAGAGCUUGCCGCUCGCCAAGCUUUUUUUUCAAACUCUAGAAAUAAGCAGAAAUGCUCUUGACAAGUUUUGACAAGUUAUAUAUAUUUUUUAAUUUAUGACACUUGAUGGGGGUGAUGCUCAUGACUAUCUGACAAUGUGGUACAAAUUUAAGAUCAAUGGAAGAAAGUUAUCAAUGAAACUUUGUCAAAUUCUAGAGAUGGACAGAAUUGGUUUUGGCAUACUUUGACCAAGCUAAUUCGUUCUACUUGAUGCAUCACUUGGCCUAGAUAAAUAUUUAGACCAUUGUAAAAGGUGUACCAAGUUUGAACUUAUUUGGAUAUGUGUACCAAUGUAAAGUUUCUUAAAGUAAAAAAUGGGCAGAGAUGUGGAAGUUUGAUGAUGUUAUCUUAUUCUCCAACACAUGAGACUUGGGGCCAGUUCUUUUCAUCUCUGCCCACAGAAUCAUCUGGCCACAGAAUUGUCUGUCAUGUUCUUUUCUGUAAUUCUAGCAUGUAAUUGUUGUAUGAGUUGUGUGUUCAAAUGUAUGAAACACCCCUAGAUUGAAAUGGAGAAGGGACGGCAACGGUGCAUGGUGGCGGCCUGACGGCGCAGGAGCAGGGUGGCCGGGCGGGGAGGCGUCGAGAUGUGGCGGCCCGGCAGGAAGGAGAGGAGGAGAAGGGGCGGCGGCGCCGCAUGGUGGCGGCCCUGCGUCGCAGGAGCAGGGUGGCCGUGUGGGGAUGCGCCGAGAUGUGGCGGCCCGACGGGAUGGAGAGUAGAAGGGGCGGCGCGACGCAGGAGCAGGGUGGCCGGGUGGGAAGGCGUCGAGAUGUGGCGGCCCGGCGGCACAGGAUGGUGGCCCGACGGUGCAGGAGCAGGGUGGUCGUGCGGGAAGGCGUCGUGAUGUGGCGGCCCGGUGGGAUGGAGAGGAGGAUAAGUGGUAGCGACGGUGCAGAGUGGCAGCCCGACUACGUAGGAGCAGGGUGGCCAGGCAGGGAGGCCCUAUUGCUGUCUGACCCGAGUGGAAAUUUGAACGUAAUAUCGUCAUUCAAUAGGGAUAGUAAUUCAAAACGAAAGGUUUUCUUUUGAGGGGAUGGCUAGAAUUGCCAUAAUUGUGAGGUUCUCACACUUCUAAAAUGCACUAAUAAUUAUGGUAAUUUUCAGAUAAUUCUUGGGGAAGAAACAAGUUCUUUUGUGAUUGUAAUUCUCCGACAGCCAUUCUAUGGAAUUGAGUCAAAAAAACUGGCCCUUGACAAGAUCAUAAAAUAUGGCAUUUGUGAUAUGCUAGAAUUUUCUUGAAAUUUAUGAUAAAUAUUUACUUUCUAAGUAUUUUAAAAUAUUGAAAUAUUCAGAAAGGAUAAUUGAAUGUUUUGACCAAUAUUUUAAGCUAUGUAAAAAAGGAUAAUUGCAUCAACUCUGACAAUUGUGUGCAUCUUGGUUGCGCUGCUCCUCCCUUAAGUGCGUAAUGCACCUGAAGAGAGGGAUUAAUUUAUAGGAUGGCUUUUGAGUCUAAAUUAUUACCUUAUACGUCGAGAUUGGUCGGUAUCCAUCAUAUUUACUCCCUUUGUCCCGGUGCGUACCUAAUAAAUUCAAAUAAUUUCAAAACACUUAGACGCGGUUCAUUAAUUUUCACCUUUUAUUUUUUAUAUGAAUAGAACAAUUAACUAAUAAGAGACGUGGGACAUGUAUUGUUUUAAUUACUUAAGACUAUCCAACACAACAUGCAAUGGUUAGUUCAUUGCAUGCAAUGAUAUUAAUUAGCAAAUGAGUAUUAAAUUAUUUCAUUUUUUCUCUCCGUCUAAUUAGCAAAUGAGUAUUAAAAUCUUUCAUUUUUCUCGUCGCCUUUAUCGUGAUGCACAACGUAAGAUGACUUAAAAACCGAAUUGAAAGGAGUAGCUCAUAUAAGGCGGGUCGUAAUGAAAGCACCAUAUCUAGUAUCAUGUAUGCCAACUAAACAAUUUUGAUGAGGUGGCAUAGAAUUAAAUAAAAAAAAAGAGGGUUGAGUAUCAUAUCAUAAUACCGUAUCAUAUUAAAUGUUGUGCUAGUAUGUGUUAUGCAUGGCAAUAAAUGACAUAUCCUAUGAUACUAUGCAUUACGGGUGUAGUAUCAUACACUAGUAUCAUAUGCAUGAUACUAGUAUAUGAUACUCUCCAUUACAACCAGCCUAACCGGACACACCAUAAUUUCACCAUCAUAUUUAGCUUAUAUAUAUUUAGCUUAUAUAUGCGGGCUAUAAAAAGGACAAGUAACGACCAAACAGACCGGACCCACCAUAUAUUUCACCAAAUCCCGCUCCCCUAAGCUUGCCGGACAAGCCCCACUUUUCUUCUCCACUCACCUCCCUCGUCCACGCCGGCUCUCACCUAGCUUUGCUUGCCAUCCUAGCUCACCGACCCCUCCAAUCUAGAUUUUCCAAUUCAUAGGCCAGGCCAAGAGAAUCUUUUAAAUUAAACAGUAGAAACAUAGGCCUGUCUUAUUACAACACCGACAAGAACUUAUUCAUCAUAUAUGUCUUUAGUAGGACACGAUAUACGUGUCAUUCAUCAGCUCUCUAUGGCAACACCAUUCACCACGGUCUCCAUCGGCCCAGGCUUAUUGCUACCACCCACAGCGAUCGUGUCCUGCUCGUAGGCUGAGAGAUGGACUCCAAGCGCUGCUCUCCCAGAGGGGUCCAGGUUCCCAGACCACUGCGCGUCCCACUCUAUUGCCUUGGCUGUGCUGCACGCCACGCUUGGCCCGCCUGGCACCGUGAGGAUCGCCGAGCUCUGA